CUAUGUUUCUUGCCAUCUCUUGGAGAAAUUGAUGCACCAUCACUUUUUUACUUGGUGAGAUGGUAAGAAGGCAUCUGUUAAUGAGGUUCCUGAUGCCAGCUUUUGCAUGCCAUUCAUGCUCCAAUAUCUGUGCCACAUAACCCUCAUAUUCACCAACAAAGAAAAAAGCAAUGUGUAGAAACAAAUCUUUGUUAAUAGCAUGUGGCAAUGAGUCAAAGCUAUUUUGUAGGAUACCUUGGAUUCUAUCAUCAAGAUUUCCUUUCAAUGAAUUCAGUGAAUUCAAUGUACUUCUCCAAACCUCUAUCAUCCUAUUUUUUCCCUUGGCUCUUUAGCGUUAGAAAACAGAGAAGAACCCAAUAGUCUAAGAGCUAGUGGAUUUCCACCACAAUACUCUGCUAACUGUUUUGCGAGCUCCAUAUAACCUUCCAUAGGAGUCUUGGAUCCAAAUGCAUGGCAACUUAAAAGCUCUAAUGAUUCAUCAUCGUUCAACGAUUUAAGUUUAUGCACGUGGCAGCUCCAUGAUAUGGACCCAAACCAUGCAUUUAUAUCUAGAAGCCUAGUUCUUAUUAUGAUCUUGCUUUGUGUAUGAAAAGCCCUUGUUCCAAGUAAAGCAUCUAAUUCGUCAUGUUCAUCAAUGUCAUCAAGAACAAUAAGCACCCUUUUCACUUGUAAGGCCACCUCAACCUUCCUUGUACCCUCAGAUACACUAGAUAUACUUGCAUUGUUUCCCCCUAGAAUGUAUUUUAGAAGUUGUUUUUGUAGCCCAAGCAAACCAUCAGACUGUUUAGAGUGCUUUCCGAUCUCUUCAAGGUAACUACUGCUUUCAAAAUCUUGCUUGUUUGAGUUAUAAAUGAAUUGGGCCAGAGUCGUCUUGCCACUGCCUCCCAUGGCACAAAUUGCUAAAACAUUAUCAACAGGUUGCUCAUUUUUCAACCAGGUAUUGAUACCUAUAGCUCGAGUGCCCAUUCCAAUCAAAUGUGUUGGAGUACUUAGUAAUUUCAUAUCUAGUUUGCGGUUAAGUAUAUCAACAAUUUCUGCGAUAAAGUCUGGUUCAGACCUGCAAGAAAAGAACAAAGAAAAUGAACACAUUUUGAGCAUAGCAUUUAAUCUUCUUAAUGUUUUAACUGCUUCAGUUCUAAUGCAAGGAAUUCAAAUGCUCUAGCAAAUGAAAUAUUCUCCCUGCAACCAUUAAUAUCAACCAACUAAAUAUGAUGAACUGAGGUGUACAUAGUAAGUGUAUAUAUAUGCUAUCUGAUUGAAUUAAGUUUUCAAUAAUACAAAGGCCAAAGCCAAACCAGAAUACGUGCUAUGUCUUGGGAAAAUUAGGGUUUGCGGUGGAGAUCUGGAUACCAGCUAGGAUCGUGAUAUCACUUUCCGAACUGAUAUUUCUACCCUAUGCCUGGGUUACAAGAAAUUCAGUCUAGGAUAAUCCAAGCGACAGGUGGUUUUUCAAGUUACUUACAAAUCAAAACUCACUACAUAAACUCUCAAUCUGUCACUCAACCUAAGCAACUUCUAAACAAUACAAUUUGAUAAAGAACUAGUUACAAAACUCUUAUAGACGAACACACAACCAACAAAAUAGAUGCAUUCAACUAUCUAACAUCAAAGAACCCUUAAGAGAGAAAACCCUAGAUCUGAUCACUUCAACUAGACGAAUGAGUCCCAACACCUUCUCUCUCUUUAUUUAUAUUCUGGAUCCAAAAUAUGGAUAUAACCCGAACCAACUCGACCGAGAUUACAACCCGUGUGUUUCUAUAAUAGCCUGCAUACACUUAACACCCUUACAGAAUACAAUCUUUACACAAUACAUCCUUCAUAAUAAACUACCUUAUAAUAAAUAUGAGAUUGUAAAAAAUAACAUCAUAUUUUCAACAUCCCCCCUCAAUCGAAAUAUUUAUUUUCUAAAAAAAUCAAUAAGACCCAUUUUAUUAGAUAAAAAUUCAUGUUGUUUCAAACUUAAAGAUUUUGUGAGUAUAUCAGCAUUUUGUUCAAAAGAAUCAAUUUUUACCAAUUUUAAAACACCACUAGAAAUUUUUUCUCUAACAAAAUGCAGAUCUAUCUCAAAAUGUUUUGUCCUUUCAUGAAACACAGGAUUAAGAGCCAAGUUAAUUGUUGAACUAUUAUCACAAAAAACAGAAGCAGGGAUAAGAUUUUUAACUUCAAGUUCAAACAGAAUUUUUAAGAUCCAAAUUAUUUCACAUGUGAUAGAACCUAGAGCCCUAUAUUCUGAUUCAGUGGAAGACCUAGAAACAAUAGACUGCUUCCUACUUUUCCAAGAAAUAAGACAAUUAUUAAGAUAUACCAUAUACCCAGAUACAGACCUUCUUGUGGCUAAACACUUAGCCCAAUCUGCAUCCACAAAACCUUUCAAUUCCAACACACUAGACCUAGUUAAAGCAACUCCUUUUCCAGGACUAUUUUUUAAAUACCUUAACAACCUGAAAGCAAUAUUUAAAUGUGAUUUUCUAGGACUAUGCAUAUACUGACUAAGAACCUGAACUGCAUAAGAAAUAUCAGGCCUUGUAACUGUAAGAUAGAUAAGUUUACCUAUCAAUUUUUGAAAUUCAAUUUUAUUUUCCAACAAUUCAUUUUUUCCAUCAUGAUUAUCAGAAUUUAUUACAAAAUUUGUUUCCAAAGGUGUGUUCACAGGUUUACAACCAAGCAUACCAUAUUCAUGUAACAACUCAAGACAAUAUUUCCUUUGGUUUAAACAUAAACCACUGUCAAAUUUAACUACUUUAAUCCUUAAAAAAUAUUUAAGAGUUCCAAGAUCUUUGAUUAAAAAUUGACUAUUCAUAAAAGACUUCACCUUUUGUAACUCUAUUUCACUAUUUCCAGUUAAAAUAAUAUCAUCAACAUAUACUAAUAACACAGUUAUUGAACCUUCAACUUUCCAAAUAAACAAUGAAUAAUCACUUACACUCUGUCGAAAACCAAACAUAAACAAUGAAGCACAAAGUUUUUCAUUCCAUUUCCUAGGAGCUUGUUUUAGUCCAUACAAAGAUUUAGUAAGUUUACAUACUCUAGUAUCAUUACUAGAAUAGUAACCAGGUGGAAGUGACAUAUAAACAUCUUCAGUAAGAUCACCAUUUAAAAAAACAUUGUUAAUAUCCAACUGAUAUAAAGGCCAAGAAUGAUGAACAGAAAGAGAAAUAACAAUACGAACUGUUACAAUUUUUGCAACAGGAGAGAAAGUCUCUUGAAAAUCAAUCCCUUCUCUUUGAUUAUAACCUUUAACAACUAAACGAGCUUUAUAUCUCUCAAUUUCACCAUUUGACUUGUGUUUAAUCUUGUAGACCCAUUUACAUCCAAUUGGUUUUCUGUUUUUACGUAAAUCAGUUAUUUCCCACGUAUUAUUCCGAUGAAGUGCUUCCAUUUCAUCAUUCAUAGCUUUAAUCCAAUUUGGAUCAGAAAAGGCUUCAUUAUAAUUCUUAGGUUCAACAGUUUUCUUUAGAUUAGAAACAAAGCAUUUAGUUUCAGAAUCAAGAAAAGAAUAGUUAACAGAUCUUUCAAUACCAUAUUUAUACUUACCUUCAACAACAUAAUCAACAAACUUAACAGGCAUAUGAGACUCACGCCUAGACCUAGAGAUACAUACAGACUGAUCCAUUGAAGGGGUUAAGAUAGACUGACUAUUUUCCUCAGAUACACUCGAAGAAGAAGGAACAUAUGAACUAGUAGGAGGCACAGUUGCCUCGCCACCAGGGUUGAUAGAAUUACUAAAAUCAACAUCAUCCACACCAAUGGCUGCAUCAGCACCAUCCAACUGGGACUCUACUCUCAGCUCAUCAAGAUUAGUAUAAUCAUUUAUAUAUUUAUUAUUAUCAAAUUCAUCAUAGGAAAAGAGAUCACUAGGGCCAAAAUUGUUUGAAACCUUAUCAACAGAAGUUGAUUUCAACUUGUAUGGAAAAACAGAUUCAUAAAAUUUCACAUCCCUGGAUACAAAAGAAGAAUUAGUAUCCAAACUAAGAAGCUUAUAAGCCUUUUUAUCAGAACAAUAUCCUAAAAAAAUACAUUUUUCAGCACAUUCAGACAAUUUAUCAGAAACAUUUGGCUUAACAACAAAACAUAAACAACCAAAAACCCUUAAAUAAUCAAAACUAGGAAUUCUUUGAAAAACAAGUUCAUAAGGUGAUUGGCCAUUUAAAACAGAGGUAGGCAUUCUAUUUAUUAGAAAAACAGAAGUCAAAACAGCAUCUCCCCAAUAUUUAGUAGGAACUCCUGAUUGAAAUAAAAGAGAUAGAACUACAUUGAGAAUAUGCCUAUGCUUUCUCUUCACAACACCAUUUUGUUGUGGAGUAUAAGCACAUGAUGUUCGAUGUAUUAUACCCUUUUCAAAACAAAAAAACUUCAUUUGAUUAUUAACAAACUCAGUACCAUUGUCUGAAUGUACAAUAUUAACAUUAACAUUAAACUGAUUUAGAAGAAUGUUAACAAAGGAUUUAAAACAAUCAAAAACCUCAAUCUUAGAUUUCAAAAGAAAAACCCAUGUGGCCCUAGUGAAAUCGUCCACAACAGUCAAGAAAUACUUAAACCCCUCAACCGAAGCAAGUCUAUAAGGACCCCAGACAUCUAUGUUGUGACAUCCCCAAAAUCACGGCCAGAAAAGACCGAUUUCAUUUAUGCUUUUUAAAAUAAUUUCAGAGUAAAUCCUUUUGAUUUAAAAGAGUUGCGGAAUUUGUUCCCAAAACAAAACGUGAUAAAAUAAUAUUUAUCAAAGCAUUUCAUCAAGAGAUGCAUUUUCAUUAUAUAAUCAAAACUCGGGAUGUCAUGUUCCGAUACAAACCAUAAAGCAUAAACGAUAACAUUACAAGUCAUUCAACAAAUAUAUACAUAUACAGACUUGUAAACAAAACAACUUGAUGAUUCAACCAUCUUAUGCCCUCGCGCCACUACCUGUAAUACAAAUAAAACUGAGUGGGUCAGGCUUGGGAGCCUGGUGAGCAUAUAGGGUUUUCAACCCACAAUAAAUAAAUUAUAUUUAAUUUCACCAACCAACACUAACCCGAUUACCUGUUCCCGUUAUCCUCACUUUACGUCCCUAAAACAACAUCUAUCUCAAGGGACCUAAUCUAGGAUUUUCAUCGGGACGGACAUUACUGCUAAGGGGUUUCCUCAACAAUAGAUAUCCUAAAGGCAACCAUGAGGGGGAUAGAGUACACCGGUGAACACAUCGUUCACAACACCUACAGGUUAUGAACCUGCUAGCGUUCCACAAGACUGUCUAGAAAGAGUCCGUGGUCGUUAUCCAUACUCCGCUGAAUAACUAGAUCAACAACAACAACAACAUCGAGGCCUCUCAUCUGUUUAUUACACACCAACUAUCUACCCAUGUUCUACCCAACAUAUUAGUAGAUAAAAAUAUAUAUUUUCAUACAUAGUUUAAAACCUGUAUAUCAUUUUCAUUCAAUACAUAUUCCACAUAACAGAUGAGGCACACCCACAUAACACGUAUUUCAUAGAAAAUAAAUCAGAUCUAUGAGAUAGAAGAGAAUGAAUAUACAUUCACACAUAUAACAACAAAAUUAUACACAUAACACGUAUUUCGUAUAAAAUACUUCAUAAUUAUGCGUUAGAAGAAAGUAACUACACACUCACUUGAUCAGAAGAUGAUCGGACAGCACUACGACUUGUAGAAGUAGUAAUCCUCAGCAGAUCUGGAAGAUCUCUUCAAAAAUCGAACUUCUCGCGGGCAGAGCUUCGGCUCGGGAAUCGCACUUCUCAGGAUCUUCGGGACCUCGGGACUUGCUUCAGGGCUCGAGAAUAAUACCGGGGCUUCGGGGUAUUUCUAGCAUGCAAAUCGAUGCAAAACGGGAGAGAGAAGAGAGAAAAUGAACAAAAGAACCGGCUGCCCUCGCAUCCUAUUUAUAGGAGGCGGGAGCCUCGGAGUACGCAGGGCGUACUGCUUCCGAAACGUCACUGCAUGCGUCAUCCGAAGACUCGAGUGCGAAUGUCGACAUCUUCAGUGUACGUGGGGCGUACACGAGUACGGCGGGCGUACUUCGGAUCGGAUCGCUGACUCCCCUUCGGAUAAUGCCGGAUUUUCCAAUUAAAAUUAAAUACAAAUUAUUUAAUAAACUUCGGAAAUUCAUAUCUUCUUCAUACGAACUCCGUUUUCGACGUUCUUUAUAUCCACGCGAAGGUGAGACUACGCUCUACAACUUUUGUUUAGACUUCGCCAGCUAAUUCUGACUUUAUUUUUAUUAUUUAUUUUUAAUAGGCCGCGACAGAAAAACUUCGUUAUAAAUUCAUAACUUCUUCGUUUGACGUCCGUUCUCGCCUAACUUUUUAUCGCUUCGAUACCAACAACGAGACCUUCGAUCUUCGUUUAGAUUGCUUCGGCUAAAAACCGCUCGAUCUCAAAUCGAGUAUUUCAGGCUGCAUACCGCUAAACCGAAGCUUCGAUAAAUCAUAACUUCCUCAUACGAAGUCAGAUUUGGGCGUUCUAUAUAUAUUCGGAAACCUCGCUUCAACUACUACAACAUGAACCAAAGAUAUUAAGUUUAUUUUACACUUAAAAUUUGACGCUUUUUUUUAUUCUUAAUUAAUCAAACCACAUAAUUAAGUAAUUAAGCACAAAACACAUAAUACUCAAAUCAUACACUCUUAUUAUUUCGAAACGGGUUACAAAGGUUAACCUAGACUAUUAUAUUGCUAAAAAUGGCAAGCCUGGAAACACAGGCAUUACAUAUGUGAACCAAUUCACCUAACUUAGUUGAAGUAUGUUGACUAUGUGGAAAGGACUCUCUGGUCUGUUUUGAUUUAUGACAAACAUCACAAGGAGGAAGAGACUCAUUUCCAAGUUUUAGAACAUUUUUUAAAGAUGUCAAAUGCCAAUUUAGUUUAGAGACACAACACUUAGACAAAAUAUUUGUUGAAAUACCUGAGGGAACAUAAUCAAGAUAGUAUAAUCCCCCAGACUCUCUACCAUUCUCCACCAUCUCCUUUGAUAGUGAAUCCUGGAUUUUACAAGUAUGUUUAGAAAAAAAAAACCUCACAACCACUAUCCUUACAAAGUUUAUGGACAGACAAAAGAUUAACAUUGAAAUCAGGAACAACAAAAACAUCAAAUAAAGUAAGAUGUGAGGACAAUUAAAGAUUCCCUAUUUUAUUUAUGGAAGCUGAGGAACCAUUAGGAUGUUUAACAGAAAGAUUAAGUUUAGACACAUCUACAUCAUCUCUAAGUUGUGACUCAGAAGCUAUCAUAUGUUGAUUGGCUCCUGAGUCAACAAUCCAGCUUUGAGAAUCAUUUGAACUAAUAAAAGAAUUACAACAUUGAAACACAUAUAUACCUGCCAUGUUUGUAGUAGCAGACACAUCAUCACUAGCAGAAUUCUCACUAAUGAGACGAAGAAACUUAGAAUAUUGUUCAUCAGUGAGAAAAUGAGCAUCACUUCCAAGACCAGACUCAGAAGGAACAGAUUUGCUAUUGUUAGAACCAACAGAAGAAGAAUUCACAGAAAAAGAUUUGUUUUGAUUAUUAUUAUCAUUUCUAAAUUUAAAAUCCUUUGGAUAACCAAUUAGUUUAUUACAUCUUUCUAUUGUGUGACCUUUAAGAUUGCAAUGUUUGCAUUGUAAACCUUGGUUCUUAGACCUAACUUGAUUUUGUCCCUGUUUAAAAUCAUUAACUUUACUAUUAAACACCGAGACUUGUGGUUUUGAAGAAACAGUAGACCCAAGAGACCCAUUCUUUUGAAGAGAUUCUUCUUUAGAAAGAAUAGAGAAGGCGGAUUUAACAUUGGGUAAAGGCUCCAUCAAAAGAAUGUGACUCUUAACUUGAUUAUAAACAUCAUCAAGGCCACUAAGAAAUUGCAUUAACUUCAUCAAUUUAGAAUGAUCAUUAAGUUUUGUACCUGCCUCACACACACAUUCAGUUAAACUAGUUAAACCAUCAAACUCCUUCCACAAGGAAUCUACUUUAUUGUAAUAAUCAGAAAGAGAAGAACCAUUUUGCUUUAAAGUGUUAAUCUGCUGUUGAAUAUUAAAAAUUACUAACCCAUCAGCUUUGUUAUAUGUUUCAAAUAAUUCAUCCCAAAUAUCUUUAGCUUUAUCUGAAUACACAUGACUAGCAUAUAUAGUUUCAGAAAUUGACCCUAGAAUCCAAUUACAAACAACAACAUUUACACGUUCCCAUUUAGAAGCUUUAGCUUUCUCAGUAUUCUCAAGAAUAAUGGAACCAUCCACAAAGCCCAAUUUAUUCCUAGCCUUAAGACCUCUAGACAUAGCACUACGCCACAACCGAUAAUUCUCAUUACCAGUCAGUUUAACUGUUAUAAUAGAGGUUACAAUAUUAUAUAAAGGAUCAUUAAAGUCAACAGGAAUUUCCUUAGGAACACCACUCCCUCCAGAAGUUUCACUAGCCAUAGUAAAUCACAGAAAACAAACCAAAGAAAUCAAAUAACAAUCCAGAUCAAGAAUAGAAACAAGAAUUCAACAAACAAAUAACACUCGUGUUGACUUAAAGUCCAGAUGGUCACCACAGUAUGUCGGGGCCCAAGACAAUCAACACAGUGUAAAAAACAGAACAACUUCAAGAAACAAUCAACAAUUAACUGAUGUACUCAAAACAUCAGGAUCUCCCACAUCUACAGCUAGAAAAGGAGAAAGAAAGGAACGAGAAACCCUCACAGUGCAAUAGGCAACCGAGAUUGUCGAGAUCGACUCCCCGAAUCCGUUUCCUUCUAGGGUUUAUCAGUGAGGAAAUCUGUCCCCAAGAGGAUUAUUUCAGAUUAACAGGGAUUGGUCAAUUAUGUUGCAGAGUUUUAAUCUUCAACACAACAAUACUCAGUCAGAACCUGAUUCACAUCACACCUGAAAGAUUAAACAAAAAAUAUUGCAGUACCAGGAUCUCAAUAACAAGAUUCAAGUUUUAGGGAAAAUACAAGACAGAAACCCUAAACUGAACUUGUUCAAUCACAUGAACAAAAAACAAAAAUGAAAAAGAAGAUAUACCUUUCACAGAUCGUCAAGCGCAGAAACACUAGAUGACGAACAACCAAGAAGCGACCGUCAGGAUCAAAGAACACGAACCUUACAGCUCUGAUGCCAUGUUAAAACACACAAGACAAAUUUCCCAACAUCACCAUUUCUCAUAUCAAUUUAGGAUCAAGAAACAGGUGGUUUUUCAAGUUACUUACAAAUCAAAGUUCACUACAUAAACUCUCAAUCUGUCACUCAACCUAAGCAACUUCUAAAAAAUACAACUUGAUAAAGAACUAGUUACAAAACUCUUAUAUACGAACACAAAACCAACAAAAUAGAUGCAUACAACUAUCUAACAUCAAAGAACCCUUAAGAGAGAAAACCCUAGAUCUAAUCACUUCACCUGGACGAAUGAGUCCCAACACCUUCUCUCUCUUUAUUUAUAUUCUGGAUCCAAAAUAUGGAUAUAACUCGAACCAACUCGAACCAGAUUACAACCCGCGUGUUUCUAUAAUAGCCUGCAUACACUUAACACCCUUACAUAAUACAAUCUUUACACAAUACAUCCUUCAUAAUAAACUACCUUAUAAUAAAUAUGAGAUUUUAAAAAAUAACAUCAUAUUUUCAACAAUAAAAAAUAAAGAUGGCCACCAACCCGGUUGAUAUUAAAAGCAAAAUUUGUGCAUGAGUUGCUUCUUUUACUUGGCCAUAUAUCAACUACUAUGAUGAAAGAGAAAUUACUAUUUUAACUGAAGAUUGAGUUGGGUAUAGCCAUGUGGAUAGUCGGAGAAUUACAAAGGUCUUAGGUGAAGUCGAGUUGUCGUCUUGGUGCUGUUUUGAUUAAAAAAUUAAUUGUUCGUUGUUUCAGAUAUUAUUGUUAGAUUAAAUUACACAAAUGGUCUUUAUAGGUAGAAGUAAUUUGUGUGUUUGAUUUUUAACUAGUUAGGAGACUGAUGUGUUAUAUGAUAUAUAUAUAUAUAUAUAUAUAUAUAUANNNNNNNNNNNNNNNNNNNNNNNNNNNNNNNNNNNNNNNNNNNNNNNNNNNNNNNNNNNNNNNNNNNNNNNNNNNNNNNNNNNNNNNNNNNNNNNNNNNNNAAAUAUUUAAAAAUUUUGAAUUUAUAAGAAAAAUAAUUAAUUAUUAUAAUGAAAAUGUUUUUUAUCUUUUAAAUUUAAAUAAAGAGAAGAAAUUAAUGAGCUUUAAGUUUAUAAAAUACUAGGUGUGAGACCCAUCUAUUAUAUGAGUUUAUUUAAAAGAAAAGUAAAUACAAAAUUCUAAACAUUUGAAAAGUAUGAAUUUGUAAGAAAAGUAAGAAAAUAUUGAAUUAUAAAAAUUAAAGUGUUUUUUUCUCUUUUAAAUUUAAACAAAUAAUUUAGACAAAUAAAUAAAGAAAUUAAUGAAUCUUUAAUCUGGAAAUUUUGAAAUUAGAAGGAAAGUUCAUUAAUGAAGCUGAUAUGUAUUUAUUAUUCAAUAUAAAUACUAUCUACAAUUUAAUAAAAUGAAAAACCAUAAAAUGACAUGUGGAAUAAAAAUUAAUUUAAAAUAACCACAAAGUUAAAUGUGGCAAAAUAAAUGACAAUGUGACAUGUGGCAAAAAGAUCUUUAUUUAUUAGGGAGGAUUGAAAUUAAAAUGUAAGUUUAUUAAUGAAAUUAAUAUCUAUUCAUUUUCACAUUUAUUGCAAUUUAUUACAUUAAAAUAUUAUGUGAAAUUUAAUAAAAUAAAAAACUCAUAAAAUGAAAUGUGGAAAAAAAAAUAAUUCAAAAUAAUCACAAAACAACAUUUGACAAAUUGAAUAAGAAUGUGACAUAUGGCAAAAAAAAACUUUUAUUUAUUAGAGAAAUUUUUUUUUUAAUUCGAACCGUCCUUAUUAUAUGGUUUUGUUACAUGGUUGGUACUAACAAAGAUAAAAAAUGAGUGUNNNNNNNNNNNNNNNNNNNNNNNNNNNNNNNNNNNNNNNNNNNNNNNNNNNNNNNNNNNNNNNNNNNNNNNNNNNNNNNNNNNNNNNNNNNNNNNNNNNNNNNNNNNNNNNNNNNNNNNNNNNNNNNNNNNNNNNNNNNNNNNNNNNNNNNNNNNNNNNNNNNNNNNNNNNNNNNNNNNNNNNNNNNNNNNNNNNNNNNNNNNNNNNGCAAGAAUGCUUGCAAACCCCAUCUCGUCCCUUUUUCAUCUUGCCAACAAGGCAGUGUUUUCUCCGGUGAAACACUGUUUUCAAAAUAAUCACAAAAUAACAUUUGACAAAUUGAAUAAGAGUGUGACAAAUAGCAAAAAAAACUUUUAUUUAUUAGAGAUAAUUUAUUUUUUUAAUUCGAAUCGUCCUUAUUAUAUGGUUUUGUUGCAUGGUUGGUCCUAACAAAGAUAAAAAAGAAUGAUUGUUACCUUUUUUUAUUUUAUUUAAUAUUUCUUUUUAUUGUUUUUAAUUUAAUAAUAUCNACUUCUCCUGCAAGAAUGCUUUUGCAAACCCUAUCUCGUCCCCUUUUCAUCUUGCCAACAAGGCAAUGUUUUUUCCCUUGAGACACUGACUUCUCAGGCGAGACUAUAAAAAAUGUUUUAGAACAUUUGAAGCAUCAAAACCAAUUGACGAAAAAACUUUGAAGCACAUACUUUAUCACAAACAAAACCCUUAUAUGAAAACAAAUUCUUAUACAAAAAAUCUGUCCAAACCGAUUGCAAAUAUUUUAGAUGCUAAACCUAUAUCUAUACAAGAAACAAGAUCCAUUUGUUGGAAAUCGAUUCAAAAAACCAAAUUUAUCAAACCAUUAACAAUCUGAUUUAAAAUCAAGAUCUAGUCUAGAUGGAUGCAAGAACAACCUGAUACAAAAAAACCCAAUCUUCGACUUCCUGUUUUUGAUUCAUCAAUCCCAAAAACAAUCCGAGGAGAAAGAAUGAGAAAGGUUGGGCCAGUAUCCUUCCAGUAAGCCUUGCCUUCUCCGACGACUUCCUAGUUUGCAUUUUUCUGGUGAUGGUCGGUGGAGGUUGUAGGGAAUGGUGAGUGUUUUGAGCAAACUCACCAUUCAUGCUUGGUUUAGAAAAGUGAGCUUUCAAGGUCCGGUAAGUGUGAGUGGCAAUGGUCCAGUGAACCACUUUAGCACCGAUAACCUUAAAUGCAAUGAAUCUCCAUUGUCUCCGAAAGUUUAGUUUGACGAAGCCCCGAUAUUCUUUGCAAUCUCCAAACAUGUAAACGCAUCAAUCAAUCACUUUCGCUGCUUCAGUUGGUUGCGUUAAGUAGUGUCUGGUCAUCGAAAGUGGUAGUAGUCUUUAGGAAAUCUCCCCACCCAUCGACUUCUAGAAACCAUAUCUGAUAUCGUAGGUGAUUUCGACCAUAUAGACCACUUAAAUCUGGUGGUUGUGCUUUCACCUUAUUUGAUUCCAACCACUCAUAUAUGAAAUCAUCAAGUUCUGGAAGCCCCCAUUCCCCCCCCCCUACGUUUGUAAGUGUGAAUGAAGGGAUGAUAAGGGUGGAGGAUGUUGUAUGCAACCCUUUUCCCCCUACACUAAUGAUUUCCGAUGAUGCAGAUGGUCGCGGUGAUGCAGCUAGAAGAGGAGAUGGUGACGACAUCAAUUUUCGUCGAUGUGCCACUUCCAAUGAUAUCGACUUUCAGCAAUGGUAUUCAUUGGUGUGAGAGAGGAGAACAAGAUUGAAGAUGCCAAUGGUUGGUGGAGCGAAAUAGUGGAAGAGGUUGGAAGUUAGGGUUGGGGGAAGAGUCAACGUGGUGGGUUGAACCUACACAUUUUAAUUUCUUUUUUUAAAUAAUUUUAUCCAAUAAAAUACAAAAAUAGGUUGUAUUCAGGGUAAUUUAGACAUUUUAAGUCGGUUAGGGACUAAACACGAAAAAAAUCAAAUGAUAAGGAUGAUCCGAGUUAAAAAAAUGUUAGGGACGAAGUACGGAAAUUAACAUAAACUAUAGAGACUAUUUGUGUAAUUUACUCUUAUUGUUAAGUUUGAAAUUUCUUUAUAAAAAAAUUCUAAUAUUUUAAAUGUCUUAUAAAGUUUGGUUAUAUUUAAUAAUGUAUUUCAAUAAAAAGUAUUCAUAUGUUUAGAAUUUCUAUAAAUAAAAUAAGUUUAUUCUUAAACUUUAUUAUUAGUAAGAUUCUAUAUCUUUUAAAAUUUAACACAUAUUGAUAAAUUAUUUAACUAUUUUGUGUUUACAUGUAACUUAAAAAGUCAUUUCUUCAUUACAAACAUGAUUAUAAAGACAUCAAAAUCAACAUAUACAUAUAUCUAUCUAUCCUAUAUAAGAAAAGAAUAGUUUUUAGGUCACAUGAUAAUCCUUCGGCUCUAUAAAUUUUCUUUAGGUUAAUUCCAUUGACAUGAAACUUUAUCAAUCUAUCAUUUUUAUUUAUUCAUUCGUAAACUAGGUUAAAGAAUCGUGUAUUAAACAGUUUGAUUAAAAAAUUAUAUAGUAAGGUAUAAACAUCAAACAUUUGUAAAUCAAAAAAUUUGAACAAUAGAUGAUUGAAAUAAGGAAUGAGUACAUACUUUAAUCUAGUAGUAAAGCAACAUUUUUAACAUCCCAAAAAUGCCAAUACUUUUUUAUUUUAAAACAUAGUGUCAUACAAACAUUGGUUUCAAAUCCAAUCAAUAUUAAUUGUAUUUUCAAACAUCAGAAUAUACCAAAUUAAUUGAUGUGGAAAAAGCCAUCGGGGGAUGCAAUGCAGUCAAGUUGGGCCCUUCCCUUUGGAACUGGAAGUACCUGAAAAUGUUUAAACCACAAAAUCGAAAUCACCAAGCUUAGUGAGUUCCCCAAAAUACUACAUACCGUACAUCGAAUAGGAAAUGCUAUGUUUCAAUCAUAGUCUUAUAAUCAUUAUCAUGCCAUGAGCCACAUUCUGGUCAUUCCUUGCCAUUUUGGGUGACCAAAACCCAUGUCUUACAAACAAGUGCCAAGAGCCACCUCCUGGUCUAUAAUGCAAGUAUUACAAAGACAUCUAGCAUCCUAUAUAUAAUUGCCAUGGUAUAAACCCUAGUCUUGCAUACAAAAUUUUGGGAUCCAUAUCCAGGUCUUUCAUAUAAUUGCAGGGGUCACCACCUGGUCUUCCUACAUGGUACAGUGAAUAGUAUUACCUAACUCAUAAAGUCGACUAAAAACUCAUCUUAAUGCUACAUCGUCCAAAACUAUCAGAUCUCUUUCAACCAACAAAUGGGUGCUAAACACCACCUAAUAACCCACACAAGGUAAACCCUAAGUCUAUCUUCUAAAGAUAGGAACUUGACCAAAUGUAAAACCAUGCCAAAAGUCAAUAGUCAAAGUCAAAGUUAACAACCAACAUUGCCAACCAAUAAGCCUCACGUCGUGACCAGCCCUUGGUCACAUCGUGAGAACUCGCUCAGAUUCUAACUCGACACUCUCCAUUUGACAUCCCCAUUUUCACGGCCAGAAAAGACCGAUUUUGCUUAUGCUUUAUAAAAAUCAGAGUACCCGUUUUAAUAAAAAUGUUGCGGAAUUUGUUCCCAAUAAAACAUGAUAAAUACUUUAUCAAAGCAUUUCCGAAGUAAAGUAUAUUUAUUCAUUUUAAAUCAUUUUGGAUGUCAUCGUCAAUACAAAAACAUAAGCAUAAACAAAACUUACAUUCAUUAUCACUAGUGAUUUAUAUCUCCUUAAUCUCUCUGUGUAAUGUGACUUCAUAUCAACACAUGUGAUAUAAAUAACCUGAGUGGGUCAGGUUGGAAAACCUGGUGAGUACAUAGUGUUUUCAACCCACAAUAAUAUAAUUAUUAUGUUUAAUCUUCAAACAAUUAAUCAACCUAAUUACCCAUCCCCAUUAUCUUCUUUACUCUUAAGGAUCUACCCUAAGAAUCAACUAUUCCUUGUUCAUUUAUUCGUAAGGAUCAUCCUAAGGAAUUGGCUCGAAGUCCAUCAUUACCAAGGUUUAUAGAUUACAACUGGUGAAAAUGUGGUCCAAAACAUCUGGUGAACACUUAGUUCAAAAAUAACUAGUGAACACACUUAGUUCAAAAAUACCUAGUGAACACACUCAGUUCAAAAUACCUAAUGAGCACCUAGCUCAAAAACACCUACAGGUUACGAGCCUGCUAUAGCGUUCCAUUGGACUGUCAGGUAUAGUAUGUGGUCGUCAUCUAUACUCCAGUAGAUGACUGGAUCACUGUCAACAUUGAUGUCUUUCAUCGUGUUAUCACACAAAAACUAUUUCAUCUACCCAUGUUUUACCAAACACAUUUUGUAGAUAUAAAAUACAUAUACAAUUUAAAUUAUUUAAAACAUAUAUAAAAAUAUCACCCAGCAUAGACAGCAAGUAUUUUGACAAUAUGCACACAUACGACGUAAUUUAUAUUAAAAUACUUCAUAUCUAUGUGUAAGAUGAAAGGGACUAUGCACUCACCUGAAAACAUUGAUGUCGUUCUCGAAGUCUGCUACGCCCGAAAACAACUCUUGGUAGUGCUCCCUCAUCUCAUCCUCCGGCUCCCAAGUCCAUUUCGUGCCCUUGUGGUGCUGUCAUUGCACCUUCACCAACUAUACCCUCUUGAUCCUCAGAUCUUUCGUCUUCCUGUCAAGGAUGGCUACUGGUCGCUCAAUGUAGUUCAAGUUGUCAUAUACUUGAAUAUCCUCUAAAGGCAUGACCAUAAAGUCAUUUUCCAAACACUUUCGUAGUUGGGAGACAUGAAAGGUGUUGUUGAUCUGACUAAGCUCGGCUGACAGAUCCAGCCGAUACGCAACCUUGCCCAGCCAAGCUACAACCCUAAAUGGUCUGAGGUACUUAGGGCCUAGCUUGCCCCGUUUCCUGAACCGGAUGACACCUUUCGAAGGUGACACCUUCAGGAGGACCAUGUCACCGACCUGGAACUCCAUGUCUUAUCGACACCUGUCGGUGUAGCUCUUCUGUUGACUCUGCGCAGUCUAGAGUCUGGCUCCAAACCUGCUGGAUCAUCUCAGUAGUCUUGAGUACCACUUCGGUACUCCCCAUGACUCUCUGUCCAACAUCUCCCCAACAUAUCGAGGUCCUGCACUUCCUCCCAUAAAGCAUCUUGAAGGGAGGACGGUCGAUUCUGGCGUGGUAGCUAUUAUUGUAAGAAAACUAUGCCAGGGGAAGGUAGGUAUCCCAGCUACCACCAAAGUCAAAGACACACGCCCGCAGCAUAUCCUCCAAGUUUUGGAUUGUCUACUCGCUUUGACUGUCCGUCUACGGGUGAAAGGUCGUGCUAAAAUGUGGACGAGUACCCAGCUCGUCAUGAAACUUCUUCUAGAAUCUAGAAGUAAACCGUACAUCUCGGUCUAAAAUCAAUAAAACUGGCACCCCGUGCCGAGCUACUACCUCCCUGAUGUAGAUGUCAACCAACUUCUAGGCCGAAAUGCUCUUUUGAAUCGGAAUGAAAUGGUCACUCUUGAUCAAGCGAUCCACGAUGACCCAAAUCGAAUCCACUCCCCGUGCGGUCCUGGGAAACUUUGUGUUGAAAUCUACAGUAAUAUCCUCCCAUUUCCACACUGGGAUACUCAACGACGGCGUCUUACCAUGAGGUGUCUGGUGCUCUGCCUUGACUUUCCUACAGGUCAGGUAUCUCUCGACGUACCAGGCUACAUCCCACUUCAUGUAGGGCCACUAGUAAUCAGGACGAAGAUCUCUAUACAUCUUCGUUGCCCCGGGAUGGAUGGAAAACCUGGAUUUGUGUGCCUCCUCCAUCAGAACCUGAUGCACGUCGCCCGCGUACAGAACCCACACCCUGCGAUGGAGUGUCAACAAUCCGCGGCUAUCAUAGUUGAAGGAGGAAAUAUGACCCACGAUAUGCUCACUCUUCGAGUGUUCCUCCUUUAUAGGCUCCUACUGAGCCUCUCGGAUCCGCUCCAACAGUGGAGUCACCACCGUCAUCCUCAGGAAGAUGUCUCUGAUCGGGGCUACGAAAGCCUUGCGGCUAAGUGCAUCGUCCACAACGUUGGCCUUCCGCGGGUGGUAGAGGAUGUCACAGUCGUAAUCCUUCACCACGUCCAACCAUCUCCGCUUCCUUAUGUUCAGAUUUGGAUGAUCCAUUAGAUACCUCAAGCUCUUGUGUUCUGUGUAAACGAUACAACGAACCCCAUAGAGGUAGUGCCACCAAAUCUUGAGGGCGAAAUCAACUACCCCCAGCUCCAGAUCAUGCGUCGGGUAAUUCGCCUCAUGAGGCUUCAGCUACCUCGAGGCGUAGGCGAUGGCGUGCCCCCUCUGCAUCAAUACUAUGUAUGAACCCGAAAUGGACGCAUCAUGGUAUACUAUAAAAUCCUGAACGCCCUCUGGCAGGGAUAAGAUCGGCGCCUCGCACAACGUCUAUCUCAAUGUCUCGAACGCUGCCUGCUGCUCAGGCCCCCAACGGAAAGUCACCGACUUGUUGGUCAGUCGAGUCAAUGGGACAGCUAUCUUGUAGAAAUCCUAGAUGAACCUCCGAUAGUAUCCCGCUAAGCCAAGGAAACUUUGAAUCUCAGAUGGAGACUUCGGAACCUUCCAUCUCAUCAUGGCCUCUACUUUGGCCGAGUCGACUAGAAAACCGUUCGGGUUGACAAGGUGCCCCAAAAACUGUACCUCACGCAACCAGAACUUGCAUUUGGAGAAGUUGGCUUACAAGCUCUCCCUCCUCAGGGUAUCCAACACCUGUCGCAAGUGCUCCUCGUGCUACUCCUGCGUAUUGGAAUAAAUCAAGAUGUCAUCGAUGAAGACGAUCAUAGACCUAUCCAACAUCGGUCUGCAUACACGGUUCAUGUGGUCCAUGAACGCGGCAUGAGCAUUGGUGAGCUCAAACGGCAUCACCACGAACUUAUAAUGACCAUAGUGAAUUCAAAAAGCAGUCUUCUAUACAUCGUCUUCUUUGACCCUCAUCUGGUGGUAGCCUGAACGCAAGUCGAUCAUGGAAAACCAAGAUGCACCCUGUAGCUGGUCAAAUAAAGCAUCAAUCCUUGGGAGGGGGUAACAGUUCUUCACUGUUACCUUAUUCAACUUCCAGUAGUCUAUACACAUCCGAUGAGACCCGUCCUUCUUCCUCACAAAUAGGAUCGGGGCUCCCUAGGGUGAACUGCUCGGUCUAAUAAAUCCUUUGUCUAACAGCUCCUGCAGCUGUGUAGACAACUCCUGCAUCUCGGGAGGAGCCAACCGAUACGGUGCCUUGGCUAUCGGGGCUGCACCUGGAACUAGGUCACUCCUGAACUCCACCUGUCUUUCCGGAGGUAUCCUAGGCAACUCCUCUGGAAAUACGUCCGGGUACUCUCGCAAAAUUGGCACAUCGCUCACGGUCGCCUUACCCGUCUCUCGGGUAUCCAUCACAUAGGGUACAAAACCUGUGCAAUCCUGAUGAAGGUAGCGCCUAGCUCUCGCUGCUGAGCACAAAGUGUGUCCACGCUGCGGACUCUCACCCUAAAUCACAAACUCUCACCCACUUGGGGUCCUACACACGAACCAACUGAUGCUCACAGUCAAUCACUACCCCAUUAGGGCUCAACCAAUCCAUGGCGAUGAUGACCUUGUUCCCACGCAAUGGAAUGGGAACCAAAUCCAUGAGAUACCGCUUGUCAUACAUCCUCAAAACACAGUCCCUAUAAACCUAUGAUGCCCUAACGGACCGAUCGUCCGCAAUCUUGACCUCUAACGGACAAUCCAACAUGCUCGUAGACUCGGCAAACCUCUUGUUGAGUGCAAGGGAAACGAAAGAUCAGGUAGCCCCCGAAUCAAAUAACACAAACACUGGGAUACUGUUCACAUGGAACGAUCCUAUAACAUAGUACAUGAAACAUGAAACAUAAAUAUCAAAACUGACAUAUAACAAGAGAAAGGAACAGAAAAAACAUAUCCGUCACCACAUUGGGUGCAACGCGCGCCUCCUCGACGGUCAGCUGGAAGGCUCGACUCCUCACCACUAGAGCCUCUGUCUUGCCCUGUCGGCCAUCUGUGAUCCACAGGGUCGCUGGAGCUGGCACCACCACCGGCGCUGCUUGUACCAAUCUCGAGCAGUUGGCCUUUUUAUGGCCCUUCUGAUUGCAAUGAAAGCAAAUCAGGUUUGCUGUCUGGAAGAUGGGGGUAGGGGCAGUACAAUCCUCGCUAGAGUGCCCCGUCUUGCCGCACUUGUAGCAGCCCGAUCCCCCAGUUCUGCAAGCUCCCUCAUGCGACUUGUCGCAUUUCCCACAGCGGCCCCGACCCUACUGGCCCUUCGACCUAGAGUCGAAUCCCUUGGGUUUCUUCCCUGAAACCCCAGUAGCAUGCCUAGUCUCUGCCUUCCUCUUCCUGAUGUGCUCUAUAUCAAUCUUCCUUUCCCUCGCCCUCACUAUCAUGUCAUCCAAAGUUGGGCACACCGAGUAGCUGACAUAUUUUCGGAUGUCAGCCCUCAACAUCCAUCCUAGAUAUUUAGCUCUAAUCUACCAUACAGUUCUCAUACACAUAUGGCAGGUAUACAAGGCAUCCUUCCUAGAUCCCUAGCCCUAGUCUAGCAUGCAGUUCUCACAUAACAUAACAUAACAUAACAUAACAUAACAUAACAUAACAUAACAUAACAUAACAUAACAUAACAUAACAUAACAUAACAUAACAUAACAUAACAUAACAUAACAUAACAUAACAUAACAUAACAUAACAUAACAUAACAUAACAUAACAUAACAUAACAUAACAUAACAUAACAUAACAUAACAUAACAUAACAUAACAUAUCAUGUAUGGGUAUCUUGGGGAAAACUUACUUGAGCUCGGCCGAUUGCACGCAUCACACACCUUGUUCUUUCUCGAAAAUCCCUUAAUUUUUAAGUUUUAGAAAAUUAUUUUCUUGUAAAAACUUUUCAAAUCCUCGAUUUGAGUUCAGACACCCCCGAAGGUAUAUUCGAAUCCCUUAAACUAAGGCUCUGAUACCAACUUGCAACAUCCUAAAAAUCGCGACCAAAAAUUUCAUUUUUAAUUUAUUAAUUAUAAAACCAAUUGUCUGAAAUCAACCAUAGUAACAACUCAUAAUGAAACCAAGUAUCCAUAAUCAAACAUGUCAUGAUAAACAAUGUCAGAGUAUAAAUCCUAAGGAACAUAAGUGCGAAAAUCCUGGUGUGAGGCGUUGCAUUUAAGUCGGCUCCUUUCCCUUCGAAGAGGAAGUACCUGGAACCAAAACUGAAAACCGUAAGCAUGAAGAUUAGUGAGUUCCCCCAUCAUACCACAUACCAUAUAACAAAUACAAUGCCGAGCAUACCUGGGUGUUGGCCUCCCCUUCGGUCUAUUUCAACCGGAUCUUUUCCGAGCAUAUAUGGGUGUUGGCCUCCCUUUCGGUUUGUUUCAACCAGAUACUGCCAAGCAUAUCUAGGUGUUGGCCUCCCCUUCGACCUGUUUCAACCGGAUACUGACGAGCAUAUCUAGGUGCUGGUCUCCCCUUCGGUCUAUUUCAACCGAAUUUGGGGACUAUUUUGUAGGGUUUGGAGCAUUCUAACACUCCUAAGGUGUACAUGCAACCCUAGAAACCUUGGAUCUAUGUUUUACUAUGAUACAUGCAAAAUUGAUUUUCCAAGGUUCAUAUCCUAUCUAGCAUACAUGGGAACUUUUAAUCAUAAAAGUAAGCAAGAAAACAUACCUUGUAGUAGAUUGGAUUCCUUGAGAACCUUGUGAGCCUAGCACCUCAAGUAUGAUGCCUCAAAUGUCUCACACAACACCAAAUACACUUGGAAUAACCUUGAGAGAAAUGGAACACUUCUAAAAUCGGCUAUGCCCUCUUGUUAUCACACUAGUGCCGAUUUUGGAUGCUAACAUAUUCCUUUUAUAGUGUGUCAUAAGUAGGGUUACACCAUGUAAACCCUAAUCUUGACAUGGUUCUUCAUUUCCAUGAUACAUGGGUUCGAAGCCACCAUGGAGCAUCCUAAUGGGUUUUAGCCCAACUUGAUAAUCCAUGGAGCAUUAGCCCACUAUAGAAGUAUGGGUGAUUUACACAAUCAACCCAUAUAUUUAAUUAGUCUUCUUUUGAUCACUUAAUUAAUUCCAAACUAAUUCUUGAUCAAUACUAAUUAAACAAUAUUAUUAAUAUAUUAGAACUUAUAAUAUAUUAAUAAACCUUAAGUGUUAUUUCUCUCAUUUUGGUCUAUCCAAAUGCAUGAUGCCAUGCAACCCAAAUGGACCAUGCUAAUCGGGUCAAGUACAUCCCAGAAAUAGUUAUGAACUUAGACACCUAAUCCAACAUAUUUAACCCCCUACUACAACAACAUAACGUAUUAUCAUAUAAAGCAUAAAUAUCCUACCAUCAUACCAAGCUAGAACAUAACAUAGAAAAUAAUAACAUACUAGACAAUUAUCACAAAAACAAUCAUCUACAACAACUCCCAAUAAUGGGCUGGCAUUGUGGCCUUAGAGCCACUUCUACUGGAAGGCAACUCGCCUCAAUGCUGCAAAGUAGUUGAACUAUCCUUGGCUCGGGAAUCAACCCCUCUCAACUCCUACACAUAAAAUAUUCCUUUAAUUCUCCUUUUCAUAUACAUGGCCCCAUAAGGGUAAAUUUUGGUUAAAGACCAAGUCAAAGUCAACGUCAUGGUUGAGUCAACUCGCCGAGUUGGUCCACCAACUCGUCGAGUUCCAUGAUCCAUAAGAACCUGAAAAUCUCGAUCCAACUCAUCGAGUUCUUUCAUGAACUCGUCGAUUUCCCCUUUAUACAUAGUCGGGACAUUUCGCUUGCAACUCGCCGAGUUCCUCCUUGAACUCAUCAAGUUCCUCAAUCUUCAUAACCCAAACCGUGGCCAACUCGCUGAGUCAUCUCCUAGACUCAACAAGUUUACUCAAUAACAGAAAAGGUUGGGGGUCCACAACCCAACCUGCUGAGUCGUAUGAACAACUUGUCGAGUCUCUCAUGGAAUGAAUCCAUACAGUCGAUUUUAUUCGGGCUCAAUGCAUCCAAAACACAGAUCUGGUUCACUAGUGUCGAUAUAUCACGUAAAGUUUAAAACUUUACGUGCAUGCAUGGGUUAUUUAGCUCAAAAGCCUUAAAAAAAGUGGUUCAUAUGAUGCAUGAGACUCCCAUGGCCAUAAAUUUGGCACCUUUAUGCCAUGGAGUCCCUCAAAGAUUCUGGAUUUGAAGUUAUUACCCCAAAACAUGCUUGCAUCCAUGAGUGGUUCCAUAUGGCCCUAAACUACCCCAUGAAGAGAUCUAGUAAACAAAUAGUGAAGGUAUAGACUUUAUACCUCAAAUGAACUGGAAAUGAAGUUCUUCUUCUAGAUCCAAAGCUCCUUCCUUCAACCAAGCACUUCUAGCUUCCACUCCUUCAAGAAAAUACCAAAGAAUCACUCAUUUUUCACUCACACACACUCACAAAGCUCAAAAUCACGAACUAGGGUUUGCUGGACUAUGGGAGGCGACGAAGGAGGCUAGAAUGGGGGAGUUAAGGUCUUUAAAUAAGGUGCAAACCCUGAAAAUUAGGGUUCCACUCUGGCAGCCCUACUCGUCGAGUUAGGGCUCCCCAACUCGUCGAGUAGACUUUGCCACCUGCAUCCAAAUCCAUUCUUACUCGCCGUUUUUGGGGCCUCCAAUUCGUCGAGUCCGUAUACAAAAAAUGAACAAACUUUUAAUUAAAUACAUACGAGGAACUAGGCCUUACAAUUGUACUUUAGACUCUUCACUUUUAAUUAAUUAUAUUAAUCCCAAAAUUAAUUCCAGUUAAUUUAUGAUUAAUUAUUAAUUAAAUAUUACUAUUUCUAAUUAAUAUAUUAUUCUCAUAAUAUAUUAAUAAACUAUUUAUUUCAAUUUAUUAAUCUAAUAAUAAAUCAAUUAACCUCUCUCUCUCUAAAAGUCAUCAUGUUCAAUUGCUAGGUUUAAGGGUAACCCAAAAGGACUGUGCUACUAUCAAUUCAAGUAUAUACCAAUUAUAGUUAUGGGCUUAGACACUUAAUCCAACAAACAGUGUCGUAAUCAUCUUUAGUGUCUUACCGACACACAACCCAAUAGCAGAUCCCAAAUCAACAUUUCUUGUAGACACCAACCUAUAAUUGAAAGAGGAAACCUUAAGGUUACCACAACUUAAUAAUAAAAAUAUAAGUAUGUAAACAUUACUAUACUCAGCUCCUUGGAUUCCCCAUAACUUCUCUUUACUCGGGUGUGGAUCAUGUGCUUUCGAUAGUAUAGGCCCUACUACUAUUGUCCACACCGAUCAUUGCCUGCUCCAAUUUCCAUCCCGUAGUAGCCAAGUCACUUCUCAUCGACAAUUCUAACGAUGUGCCCUACACCACCACAUGCCAACACUCUUCCUAACUCAAUAUGACUCCCACCCCACCAUGUUAUUCUACCGGAAAGAAACUCAUAUUAAUGCUAACUAACUACAUCGUGAAUACUAUUACAUGCAACUAGAAUUAAACAGGCUUUUAACUGAAGAUAUCACACUACAAUAGUUGGGCUCAAACAAGAGCUACAAAAUAGAACUAAGCCUACAGUCUAAGGCCACUUAAUUCUAGGGGCAUGCAACUUAAAAUAUUCGUCCGAUAGCUAAUUGAUAUUAACAAGAAUUCCUAAAAUCACAAAGCAGUCGGCAAAUAAGAAUUAAAAAUUAACAGGUCAUUCUAGCAUAUACAUGAUAAUCUCAUAUUUAAGAUAAUAAGCAAUUUGAACACUUUCCCGUUUUCAUCUGGCACCGGCCGAAUAUACAUAUUGUGCUUGCAACCACCCUAUUCAAACUAUUCAUUUAGUUUUCAUAAAAUUUUAUUUUAGAAAAUAAACUUUAAGCCGAAAACUUGAGUUCAAAACUCACUACAGUGAGCUUGAUUCUCUUAAGUUGUGCUCGGGUAGCAACUUGUAGCAUCCCAAAAUUUUCCAGUAAAUUUGAGCUUUUUAAAAUAACAUAAAUCGUCGAUUUAAUAUAUUUUAUUCAAACAAAUGAAAUACCAAACCUCAAGAUCAAUUCAAUUUCCAAACGUUUUAUUAGGUAUAAUUCUAAAAUUUAUGAAAACAUAACCAAUUCAAUAUCAAUUCCAAAAACCCGCUCGAGCCAGUGUGUACUGUCACGCCCUACCAUCAUGUGUACCUAAAACAAUAUUUUGAAGGGAAAAAGUGUAAGCACAAAUCUUAGUGAAUUCCACACAUACAUAGUAUCAUAUCAUAUAAUCAUUACCCAUAUAUAAUAAUACAAACGGUAUCAACACACAAACACGUAUGCAUGUCAAAGAACGAAUAUGUAACAGACAUACUCAUACUGGGACACAAUAGCUAGGCCUGAUCUCCCUUGCUCAGUACAUCGAGCCCUAGUGACACUUUGUCUAAGCCCGAUCCCCCAUACCCAAACCCAUUGGGACACAUUGGCCAUGUCUGAUCCCCCUUGCUCAAUUCAUCGAUCCUUUGGGACACAUUGAUUACACGUGAUCCCCAACUGGAUGUGUCAAUUCCUAUAAUGCAUAAUCCUCAAUACGUAAGGGAAACCUCUAGACUCUACCCCGCCUAGUACUACCUGCAUAAACAACACGUAAAUAGAAUAUAGCACAACACGGUGUAGUGAGGAACUCACUUCCAAAAGAAAAGAAACCUCCAAAGCAAUUUGGGACUCACUCACAGCUUAUCACCCUUCACAUUCCCUAAUAAUAACAAUUUAAGUUAAAUUUAGCUACACAUUUACCAUAAUUAUUCAAAUAGGAAAACAGGUUAAAUUUUAGAUUUUUACAUAAAAUUUAAGCUCUGUUCGGGACCUGUUUUUCCCUCCUUAAACUCUAUAGUUUCAAAACUGUAUUACAUGUAGGUAUUUCAUGUCAAUAUCAUUUCAGGGACUACUUACACGCACUCAUACGAUUUUUCUUCAAUUUUUGGUGAAUUUUACAAAAUUGUCUCGCAUUGCAGCUCAUUCCGGACCAAUCUGGGUAAAUGGUCGUUUUCACGUCGUGGGAAUGUCCAGACAAACGAGUCGCGAUGUUGAACCUCUUCCACGACAUGGGGACCUCUUUUCCACGUCGUGGCUACUACUAGAAGCCAUUCAUUAAGAACUUAAUCAUUACAAAUCAAAGCUCAUAGUUCAAGAUCUGAUUUUUCUUAAUGACUUAAUGGAUAAAGUUUCCAACUUUAUCCAUUAUGACUUCCCCACAAGAUAAGAUCUUAAACCCUGAGUCCUUAGUAUGACCAAAACUAGAGCAUGGAGCAAAGGCAGCUAUAGCUUAACACUUUUUCCAUCAAAUAAGACCAAAAAAUGGUCACCAUACAAGCCUAAGGUUCAGGAGUUGCCCAAAAAUCCAAGAACAUUCCUUCAAGGGACUUCAUCACAUGAAAUAAGAGAAAAGGAUGAUAAAGGUGGAGGCUUUAUCCCUUCCCAAUCUCCAUAAGAUGCAAGAGAUGCAAGAUCUAAAGUAGAUACACCCUUCCAACUAGUAAACACACAUUCUUCUUCUCCCUAAGGUGGAAACCAAGGCUUCAAACUUUAAGAACUCCAAGAACUCAUGAAGAACACUUAAAUGGCGCUAGGGUUUCGAAAUAGGAGGAUGGAGGCUGAGUGAAACAAGCUAAACCUAGAGUUAAGGACUUUAAAUAUGGGUGAAACCCAAAAAAUCAUAGGCUUGGGCUACAACACUCACCACGUCGUGGCAACCAUCAUGCCACAUCAGGUGCUCUCCAAAAUGUGUGUUCCAUGAAAUCCAUUCCACAUCGUGAUCAUCCAUGCACCACGUAGCGGCAUAGGGUUUUUUUUUCACAAAACCCAUCUUUGAUCCUCUUAGCUCAUUAGCUAAACAGUUCUAGAAAACAGGUGUUACAAAGGCCCCUUUAGUAAUUUCACAUUUUUUCCUAUGAAAUCGCAUUUGAAAAACAACUAUUUCCGGAUAAAGUUGCCCCUUGGAACCCCGCAAGGGGGUGCAGCCUCCUUGACAUCGACUUUUUAAAAAGCACCGAGAUUAAUCUAUACUAAUAUAAGUGUACACUCCGCACCUCCAACAUUGUAUUAAAACUAAGAUAUAAUCUCAUUGGAAACAUGUAUAGAUUCCAUUACAUAAUAUGAACUCGUCACACUAAAAUCACCAACAUGGGAAAUCAUUAAUUAUUGAACAAAUGUGAGAAGUUGGCAACGUGCUUGAUGUGUUCAUUGCAAAGAGAAUAUCCAGGGUGGACAAGAUGUCCAACUUUAUGAGGUACAUACCAGUACCCUAUUUCCAAGAACCAUUACACAAUAUUUGUGAUUCGUGGAUUGGCUAUUACAAUGUCUUCACCCUUCAAGCUAAAUUUGACAGGAAUGAAAAUGUUCUUCAACCAACUACCCAACAGGAUCAACCAAGUGGACGUAUGCAUAAAGAAGUGAAAGUUUCUAAAGGAAAGGCAAUGUCAUUCGCGAAUGUGGUUUCGGUAUAUAGAGAGGGUAAACGAGAAAUAAGCAUACAAUUUACCGGCUAACUAUUUUUUACACGACUUACAAAUAAUUUUUUAAUAUUUUACACGUUUUAGCAAUUAUCUUCUAGUUUUAUUCAAAAAAUACUAUUGAAAUUGUUUUGUGUACACAUUUACCUUGGUUACAGUUUGAGGUGGCAUCCAGGUGCAUGGCUGCCAACUUGAAUUCAAGAUAACAUCAUGGAAGCCUUCAUUCUUACACAUUACUUGCAAGUUUCCAAUAGUUAAGAUUGAUACAUCCAAGAAUGACACCUAUUUGCAUUGUGAUCCACUCCACUAGCCUCCAAAAUAAUUAUCGUUGUUUUCUUCUCUUCUGAUGCCUUCUUUUUUCUCCUUCUCUGUCACUAAUUCCUCAAAUAUCACUUAUUUGUCGUCCACCUUCAUAUACUCCCAUAUUUUUCUAUCCAUGUUUCUGUUCAUUUCUCAUCUUAAAACGAGCAAAAAUAAAAAUACAACAUAACUUCAAUCUAUAAUCAAAAUAAAUUAAUAAAAAGCUAGCUACACCACUUUUAGAAAAAAUGGUUAUCAAAGAAAAGAAAACAAGGUAGCUCAUCAGCUUUGCCUAGGGCUGCAACGAAUGUUUGAGUUGUUACAUAAAACGGUGUCUACCAAUCACUCUAAAAUCAUAAAUAAGGGAAGACUGGGCAACAACUCAAAUUAAAGGACGAGGAAUUAUAAAGAGAAAACAAGUUGAUAGGCACAAAAAUUUGCUACCAGUAUCAUAUAAAAUAUACUUACCACCAACUUGUCUAGCCGGUAAAAAUUGGUAAAGAUAUAUACCAAUUUAUUUUAAUUUUCAAUUAUAAAGGAACUUUUCAGUUUUUUUUUUUUUUUUUAGUUUAAUGGCUAAUACCAUGCUUUUAAAUUUGUAAACAAUAAACACAUAUCACAAUUGAAAUAUACGAUUAUAUAUAAGAAAUGAAUUGGUUCGGUACAAAACAUGUUGGUUUUCUGUGGUACAAAUUUGACAGUCCUAUUCAUUUAUAUAAUAAAUAUAAAGGUUAGUUUAGGUUAAAGGAUUUAAGCAGCAAAUUGAUUUAAAUUUUAAAAAAAAAUUGGUAUUUCAUGCCAAAACAGAAUGAUUAAAUGUACAUCCUUAGAGCCAAUCGGAAUACGGGUCGUCUCUGUAAGCAAACGGCUCCAUAUAUGAUGUUUUAUAGUCGCUCUGAUGAGAUUUUCUCCAUCCAUGUAAAUCUAUGACAGUGUGAUAUAAAGAUUAAUCAGUAUUUGCAGCUUAAUCUAGAUGAAAAGCAUCAGCUCAAUGUGGGACUUACCUUUACGAGGAAUAUUAUCACCAACUAACAUAUUGAACCAAUCAGGAGUGGUUGACUUGAAGUAAUCGCAACGACAAAGAUAGUAGCUUCCUGUAGCCAGCUCAAAUUCAGAUAGAGCUCCUCCAAUAAUUUCUUCCUCUUUCUUGUAAUCUUUGUAGUAUUUUGGCUCUACUUCAUCAUCAUCAUCCAUGAACACAAGGCUGACACCACACCUGCUUACCAUCCAUCCAUCCCCCACAAUGAUGGACACAUUGAUUUCAUCUCCAGCGUCUAAUAUGUUCCCUAUGGGCCAAUAGCUAAACCAUCCAGCAUCUUCUCCAACUUCCACAUUGGCAUAGAUCACAGGGUUAUACAUCCAAGUAAGGCCCUUGCUUGUAUUGCUGACUUUGGCAAACAAAGCCCGCGUAUAUUUAUCCCUGUAUGAUGCAGAUAAAGAUAUGCCUGAUCCUCUGUAUGACGCGGUUAUGUUUAAUCCACAGAUUCUGCCAUUCUCAGGACAAGAAGGCACACGAAAGGAUAAGAAUGCAGACAACGACAUAUAUUUGGGCGUUGGCAUGCUUUGAUCCCUUAUGCGUGCCAGAUAUGUGCUCAUUAUACCAUAUUCAUACAGCACCUGGUCAAACAAAUAGAAGAAAUAUCAAGUUAUUCAUAAAUAAAUCAGUUUUUUUUCAGUGUCAAAAAGAUGUCUUUUUUUUUUUUUGUUGUUGUGCUUAUUCAUGCAUGCAGGAGAGAGAGAAAGGUACCGCUCUAUGCGAACGGUAUGUUGUGAAAUCAUCACAUAUGUGCAUCUCCUUAGUAUCAUGAUAUCCUUUGAUCCAUUUCAUAUGUCCUAAAUCUGCUUCAUCAAGAUAUUCUAAUGGCACCAAUUUGAAAAGGCCUUGAAUUUCAUACAAGUUUCCACAACCGAGAUAUUCAAAUUUCCGCAAUCUGAACCCAGCGGAUUCGAAUGUUAUUUUCUCCAGUGAAGAACACCAAGAUGUACACAACUCUUCUAGAGUACUUGGGAGACAAAGGAGGUAUUUUAUAUUUGGACAACUACUCACAUCGAGUACACGAAGCAUUUUAAGAUUGGUAAGUGGCGUUAACGGAUUACUGCAGCGAUAGAGAAACAAAAGCUUUAACGAGUCUGGAAAAGGGACCAACAAUGAUGCUUGCAUUCCUCCAUCUUUCCAAGGUUGAUUACACCCUCCAAAGUCCAGUAGAGAAAGCUUCUUAAGACCUCUGAUGGUUUCCAAAACAUGAGUCAGACUGAGACGGAAACAGUACGAGAGAAUCAAAGUCUCGAGAUUAGGAAGUCGGGAAAGAUGGCGGAUAUUGACAAGAUUGAAGGACCAUUUAAGAUUUAGGAUCUUCAGCGAAUUAAGAACCUAUUCAAAGAAUACAAACAUAAGGUGUUAGAAAGUUGGGAAGCUAAAAGGUCAAGUGACAAAGAAGACAUCAAAUUCCUACCAUGGGCGGUUCAAACUUUUCCAGAAAUCCAUAGCUCAUAUGUAUAGCCACCAAGCUGCUCCCAAAUAAGCUGGAUGGUAUUUUUUUCAAACGAAAACUAGUCCAAUACAACCAUCUCAAUUCUGGAAAAUUCUUGUAGGACCCCUUGAGUUCCACAUGUUCUAGCUUGAGCAAUUUCAGUUUGUCCAUUUUUGCAAGUGUAGCUGUAUCAAGGGUUGAUGGCUGCAAAUUUAGCAUUAAGUUAAUUAAUUAGUACAUAAAAUAUACUGAAAUAUGAGUACCACAGUCAUUCACAUCUUUGGCUUACAUUUGAUGUCAUCCCUUCGUGGAGCUUUUGCAUGUCAAGUGCUAGACCUUCAAUUGUUUUUGAACCCUAACGGAGAAAGACAUGAAAUGAGACAAGGAAAGUUAACAUAGGAGGUUCAUGUCAAAGGGUAAGAAAGUAAGUUUAAUGAUACAAAUAACUAAGAAGCAUCAUACCUCUCCGUUUCUCAACAAACGAUAAGAUUCAUCAGUUUGUGAGACUCUACUACGUGCUGCAGGAUCUCUGGACUCUUGAAGGACUAUGUUUCUUGCCAUCUCUUGAAGCAGUUGAUGCACCAUCAAUUUUUUACUUGGUGAGAUGGUAAGAAGGCAUCUAUUAAUGAGGGUCCUGAUCCCAGCCUUUGCAUGCCAUUCAUGCUCCAAUAUCUUUGCCACAUAACCCUCAUAUUCACCAACAAAGAAAAAAACAAUGUGCAGAAACAGCUGUUUGUUACUGGCAUGUGGUAGUGAGUCAAAGCUCUUUUGUAGUAUAGCUUGGAUUUUACAAUCAAGAUCUCCUUUCAAUGAAUUCAGUGAGUUCAAUGUACUUCUCCAAACCCCUAUCAUGCUAUUUUUCUCCCUUGGCUCUUCAGCAUCAGAAAAUAGAGAAGAACCCAAUACUUUAAGAGCUAGUGGGUUUCCACCACAAUACUUUGCUAACUGAACUGCAAGCUCCUUGAAACCUUUCAUAGGAAUUUUGGAUCCAAAUGCAUGGAAACUCAAAAGCUGUAAUGAUUCAUCAUCAUUCAACAAUUCAGAUUCUUGCACCUCACACCUCCAAGAUAUGGAUCUGAACCAUGCACGUAUAUCUAAAAGCCUAGUUGUUAUUAUGAUCUUGCUUUGGGUACGAGAAGCCCUUGUUCCAAGUAAGGCGUCUAAUUGGUCAUGUCCAUCAAUAUCAUCAAGAAUGAUAAGCGCCCUUUUCACUAGUAAGGCAUCCUCAACCUUCCUUGUCCCUGCAGAUACAUUAGAUAUACUUCCAAUAUUAUUUCCCCCUAGAAUGUCUGUGAGAAGUUGUUUCUGUAGCCCAAGCAAACCAUCAGACUGUUUAGAGUGCUUUCCAAUCUCUUCAAGGUAACUGCUGCUUCCAAAUUUUUGCUUGUUUGAGUUGUAAAUGAAUUGGGCCAGAGUCGUCUUGCCACUACCUCCCAUGCCACAAAUUGCUAGAACGUUAUCACCAGAUUGCUCUUUUUCCAACCAAGAGUUGAUAGCUAUAGCUCGAGAAUCUAUUCCAAUUAGAUGAGCUGGAGUACUAACUAGUUUCAAAUCUAGUUCAGAGUCGAUUGUGCCAACAAUUUUUGUGAUAAACUCUGUUUCAGACCUGCAAGAAAAGAAUAAAGAAAAUGAGCACAUUCAGAGCAUGCCAUUUAAACUUCUUGAACACUUUAAGUUGCUUCAGUUAUAGUGCAUGGAAUUCAAAAUGUUCUAGCAAAUGUACUAUUCUUCCUGCAACCAUUACCAACCAAAUAAAUAUGAUGAACUGAGGUGUAAAUAGUAAGUGUAUAUGCAAUCUGAUUGAAUUAAGUUUUCAAUAAUGUGAAGCCUGUGAAGGCCAACUGUAUAUACACUCGAAUUGAAUGAAUCAGGAUUGGGCAACAUGCCAAGAUGGACAGGUUGUUCAGGCUUUUUCCAUUGGUUGGCGUGUAGGGCCAAAGUCAAACCAGAAUACCUGCUAUGUUAUCAGUGUUUAAUUUUAGUUUCACUUCUCACUCAUUAUUUCACAUCAUAUACACAUGUGUGAAUAUAUGCAUAUUCUAUAUUUAUACCAAACCAUUAAUAAGUAAGGAAUAGAAUGGCAUAAUGUGUAUACAUAAGUAACUAAACAGCUAUUUGUCUGAUCAAGUAAAAUUGCAAUCUUCACUAUAAAGAACGUUCAAUUAUCAUGCCAAAUGUAUCCGGAGACAAGGAGCUAAGCAAAUGAACUAUGUGCAAAAGUAAACCAACAACUUAGACUACUAUGGAAAAGGCCAUACAAUAACAUGCCAUGAAAUAAAUACACAGCUAAGCCUCCAAUCAUCAAUCUGGUUUUGCUCUUUGCAUUAAUUUAAAGCAAUAUGAGCCAAAGAAACUUUCAUGAUUUGAUAUUUUAAUAUGCAUACCUGAAUUCGAUCGUCUGCUAGGUAAAAUUACGAUUCCUUAUCAUAUUUAACAAUCUCAGUUAACUAAUCAAAAAGAUGUUUCAAAGGAUUAAACAAUAAACACGAAUAGAGAAAGCAUACCCCGAAUAAACCAUUCCGGUCAAAUCAGCAACAUCUGCAAGGGCUGCCUUCCAUCGAUUGACAUUAUACUCUGUCCAUUUUGACCCUUCUACUCCUUCCUCUACUUCUAUUGCAAAACUUCGUCUCUGGUUCCUGACAUCUGAGGGAUCGACAUGGUAAAACACCGGUAAAACAAAAUGAUUAAAGCUCAGCCUUUGCUCAAGGAUCAACAGCAGCUCGUCAAGGCACCAUCUGGAAUUCGCAUACUUCUCUGACAAUACAACUAUAGAAGCCCUAGAUUCUUUGAUUGCUCUCUCGAUUUCCGGCUUCAGUUCUUGACCUCUGUCGAUAUUAUCAUUAUCCCUAAAAGUGCGAACUCCUGCUCGUUUUAAAGCUGCAUAGAGAUGAUCUGUAAACGAAUUACGAGUAUCUUCACCUCUAAAGCUUAAAAAAACGUCAUGGCAGCAGGUAUGAUUCAGCAGAGAAGAAGAAGAUGAUGAUGAUGAUGAAGCAGACGCCAUUGAAAUUAGUGAGAUGAGAGAACAAAGAGGAGUAUAAAGGCAUCAAAGUCAACUCAGUCUCCGGAGAAUUUGAGGUGUUCGGUGAAGUUGGGUUGUCGUUUUGGCACACUACAUUUUCUACGCGUUUGUUUCGAAUACUUAAUCAAAAAAUAAGAAAAUUGUUAAACUAAUAAAAACACUAAUUACUUAUCUAUUUUUUUUUUCUUUUUUACCAUUUUUUUUAACCGGCAAAUACAAAUAUAUUAAUUUACUCCUAAACUAACACCUAAUUUCACCUAUAUCCACGACGGGACUUGAACCCUCGACCUCAAAGAAGGAGGGCACCACUUGAUACCGUUGGGCUAGAAGCCCUUUUUUACCAAAUGACUUCUAGCAGAGAUGGUCCCCUGUAGGUUCAAUUAAAAAGACAAAAAAAAACCAUUUUUAACCAAAAAUUAACGGUUGUUUCGAAACAACCUCUAAAACAGUAGACUUUUAGGUUUGUUUAAUGUUUCGCUUUUUCACAUAUUAUUUCGUGUUUUCGCCUAUUGUUUCGGUUUUACUAUAAUAAAAUAAAAUAAAAUAAAAAAUCAUUUUCUGGACUAAAACUUUCGGUAUUAUUUUAUCUACGGUAUUUUCUUAAGUUGGGCUACGAUUUUCCUUUUUUUUCUUUUUUGAAAAAAAAAAAUAUUAAAUGUGAACUAUAAUAUAUUUAUAUACAACUUACAAACAAAUUAAAAAAAUAAUAAAUAAAUAAAUAAAUAAAUAAAACGUAGGCUUCAUACGAAACCUAUGGUGUACAAGUACACAAUGCACAAUAUAUGCAUUGUAUACUUGUACACCGUAGGUUUUGUAUGAAGCAUAUGGUUUCAUAUUUUUUUGUUUUUUUUUGAAAAAAAAAAUAUACGUAUAAAAACAACUCCUAAUCAGUAAUACGGUAAAAUUUCUUCAAAAAACGAAAAAUAACUCAUUGUUCUUUGAAGGCUCCAUUGAGAGAAAAUAGUAGAUAAAAUCAAGAAAAAAAGUAGGCCAAAUGACUUAAUUUGAAAAAUAAACCAUUAUAUAUUAUGAGUCGAUGCACCCUGCAAGAGUAGACAGGCCAGGAAAGAGUGGCUCAUUCAUUGUCCGAAACAGUAAUCAAACUUAAAAAAUUUCCGUUGACCGUGGUCAAAUUGUGUUUGACAGUAGAUGGUCCUAAUCAUCUUCGGUUUCUUGGGCUAUUUUGGAAAAUAUGGGUAUUUUUUUGCUAAAAAUGAAUAAGUCAUUAAGGAUUUAGACUAAUUUAGUAAUUUUUUCUUAAAAAAUUAAUUAGUCAUUGUUUAAGAUUUUCUUGUUAAGAAAAAGUAUUCAUAUGUUUCUGUAUUAAAAAAAAUCAAACAUUUUAAAUGUCCUAAAAUUUAGUAAUUUAUUUCAAUAAAAAGUAUUUAUAUGUUUAGAUUUUCAAUAAAAAAUAACUUUACUCUAAAAAUCUAUAAUCAAUGAGAUUCUAUAUUUUUAAAAAUUUGAACACAUUCAUAAAUUAUUUAGCUAUUUUGUGUUGAUAUGUAACUUAAAAUAAUAAUAAGUUCAUUAAAAUAAAUACAUUAAAAUCAUACAUAUAUAGGGACAUCUAUUUUAUCUUAAAUGAUAAAAUAUUUAUUUUUUUGGCCACAUGGCACUAUUCUACAACUUCAUAAUUUUUCUUCGGUUAAUUCCAUUGGCAUUGAAUUUUAAUAAUCUAUUAUUUUUUUAUUUAUUCGUUAAUUAGAUUAGAGACUUAUGUAUUAUAUAGAUUGAUUAAAAAAAUUAUAUAAUAAGGUGUAAACAUUAACAUUUGGAAAACGAAAAUUUUCAAUAAUAUAUGACUUAAAUAAGAAAUAAGAAAGUACUUUAAUCUAAUAAUAAAGCAAUAUUGUUGAAAAUAUUUAAAAAGAUUGUCUUAAAUCACAAAUUUCCAUACAUUUUUUUAAUACAAUUUUGAAAGUUAUAUUGGUAAGUCUACCAUUAAAAAAUACUAUAAAAUGUUACCAUUAUAGACCUCAAAAAAAAUGCUUAAAAAGGUUAAAUAUCUUUGAUUUCAAUAGUGGCCCGCUAUAUUUGAGAGUGCCUUGACAAAAAAAUAUCCUUCAAAAAUAUUUUCAAAGUUUAUGUUAUAUAAUAUUACUGUUAUAUGUAAUUACGAUGAAAGGAAAAUGGUAUAAUUCACAUUUAAAUGAAAAUAAAUUACAAAUCUAAAACUAAAUUGUAAAUAAAAAAAUAAAAAGAAAAAAAAACAACAACAACAACAAAAACAAAAAAAAACAAACUAACUAACUAACUAAAAAAAACAAAAAACGUUUGUCUCCCGAUAAAAUGUCCAUAUUGCAAGUAGCUAAAAUGAAAGUAAAAUGGUUUGUUUAACAUUGAAAUGAAACUAAAAUGUUAGAAAUAUAUUAAAAUAAAAUUGUAAUAUUAUCUUUGACAUUGAAAUGAAAGUAAAUGGCUAUAAUUGACAUCAAAAGGAAAGUAAAAUGCUAUAAUUGUAACGACCUAAAUUUGCUAUCAUUGUCGAGGUCAGGGUUUCGUUAAGUUUUCUUCUUAAACUAACCUUUUUCUAGGUUUAAAGUUGAGUUAUCAAGGUCAAAAUGUAAUAAAAUGAUUCUUGAACAUGUACAUGAGUUUAGGAGUCACCUUGUCAUAUUUUGAAUGCCUAUAUUGUAACUUAUGGGGUAUUUAACUGAGGAUAACCCAAAAAGUCAGAUUUGUAACCCUAAUUGCAGCUAACAACUUCCAUUUAAGAGAGUUUGUGAGUAAUGUUUCCUUGCUUGAAGAUUAGAAGUAAUCAAGAAGUUGGUGAUUUUGAGGUUUUUUUUUGGUGGUUUUUGAAGUAGUGUAGCGGUGGUCUCUCCUCAUCAUCCUGCUCCUAGAAUUUCCUAAGAUUUGUAGAGGUAUUAAUUGAUUCCUCAACUCUCAUUUAUUAUUUGGGUUUAAUAGGAACAUAUAUCCUGGAGGUUAUGCACAAAUAUGGUACUUUUAGAAAAAGUUUGAAAUGUAGAUAGAAUUGUUGACUUGUCUUGUGAGGGCUAUAGAGCCCAAUCCAGUCUGAAUUAGACAAUGGACUUUACAGACAAAAUUGUAAGAAGUCGACUCUAGUUUCCAAGGACUAUGAUAUCAGUCCAUUUGAAGUUGGAUUAUGUUUUAUGCUCAAAACAUUGAACAUGGAUUAGGCUUGUGAAACUUUAAAAAAUAUGAAAAUUAGAUUUUGUUUUUUGUUUUGAUUUCUCAUUUUGUAUUGAGCUUUUAUGAAAUUGUUUAUGGUGUUCAUUAGUGGUGUUGGGUGGAUAUAUUUAUGUUUUACACAUUAGUCUUGGUCCAUCCUUUUUAGAGUUAGUCAGGAACUUACAAAUCUUGACAAGUCAUUAUUUGAUAAAAAUUAGUCUAGCUUGUCUGUGUAUUUCCAUGCUAGUGAUAUGUUCUGGAAAACAUGUUAUCUUGUUAUAGUAUGUUAGUAGGAUGUAGUGUAUGCUAGAUGAUAAUUAUUGUGGUAUAUUCAUGCUAGUUUAUAGUAUAUGGAUUAUUGUGUUAUGUUGUAACGCCUGAUUCCUGAUACACAUUUAAUUAUGAUUUAUUGAUUUUUAUAGAACAACUCGACGAGUUGGUAGCCCCAAACGCAUCAAGUAGAGACAAGGAAGGGAUGCGGGUUUUAAGCAAUCUACUCGACAAGUGGAGAGACCUCGACUCGGCGAGUAGGUCUACCAUAGUGAAAUCCUAAUUUCAGGGUUUUGCACCCUAUUUAAGCAUCUUAAUCCCCACUUUAUGGCCUCAUUUAUAGCCUCCAAGUCCCAAACCCUAAUCCAUGAAAUCCUAGAGCCUUGUGUGAGUUUGUGAGCCAUUUUAAGUGAUAUUUGUGUGAUUUGAAGCUUAUAGAAGAAGAAGAAGAAGCUAGAGGGCUCCAGGAGAAGGUUGUAGAUCCAGAAGCAACAUCUCAUCCUCUUCAUUUUUUGGUAAUCAAGACUCUAACUUGCCUAGUAGUCUCUUAGAUCUCCUUAUUUUCACUUUAUGAGGGUUUUUGGUCCAAGAAGCUUAGCCCUUGGGGAAUGGACAUCCCAAGUGAAUUACCUUUCAGAUUUGGGUCUAGAAGGGGUUUCAUGCAAACUUUAUGACCAUGGAAGCCCCAUGCAAGAUUUAAGGUGUUAUCAUGCCCUUUUAAGCCCCAAAAGGUCAUGCAUGGAAGGAAAGCAUGAGACUUUACGUGUUCAUUUGGUGUCUAGGACCUAGAUCUCGGUUUUCGUGCUUUGGUUUGGAGUAUUAUGGCUUUUGGAUAAAGAUCUAUGUCCUAAAGAACUAGGGUUUGAGCUAAACCCAUUAAGAAGGACUGUUAAUGGGUAAAGUUGGAAACUUUACCCUUAAGAGGGCAUUUCCAGUAUGUAGAAGAAGUAUGGAGUUUGGAUCUGGAGAGUAGAGGAUUAAUUUGUUAAGAUGGCCCAAACAGACAGAGGAACUCGUCGAGUCCAUAAAGGAACUCGACGAGUUGAGUCGUUUUGUCCCAUUUCUGAUUAUGGUAGAAAUCGACGAGUCUAAGGAUGACUCAACAAUUUGAUUUGCUAAAUCACGACUAUAAGUAGCCAGAUAGAACUCGACGAGCCAGGGGGUGAGUCUGCGAGUUGGAUCGUGAUUUCAGGAUUUUUGAGUUAUAGAACUCGACGAGUUGAUAGGUCAAUUCGACGAGUUGGGUAAACCCAGAAUAUUGACUUUGACCAAGGGUAAAAUGGUUAUUUUACCCUUAGAAGGAUUCUCAGUUUUGACUAAGUGAUUAUUGUGAUAAUGAUAGUCGGGGAGUUGUUGGAGCAGCCAUCAGAGAUUCCUCACACGAGAUUGCAUCAGCCAACUUAAGAGGUGAGUUUCUUUCAGUAGGAACGGAUCGAAGGCACCAAUGUCGGCCUGUGUAGAGUAGCUAAGUGUGGGCUGGGCCCGUAUCUUAGAAUUAUUAUGUUUGGUAACUAUGUGUGGGCUAGGCUCGUAUCUUAGAAUUAUUAUAUUUAGUAGCUAAGUGUGGGUUGGGCCUGUCUCUUAGACUUUUUUAUGAUUAGUAGCUAAGUGUAGGAAGGGCCCAUAUCUUAGUAUUAUCUGAACAUGUUUAUGAACUGGUAGAUCAUAGUUAUACUUGUUGUCUGUGUGAUACUUGUAUGGCCCGUAUCUCCCGGAUAGCGGAGCGUGGCCGAGGCCCGUACCUCCUAGCCAACUAAGUGUGGGUGAGGCCUGUAUCUCCUAGUUAGUAGAGUGUGGGCGAGGCCCAUAUCUCUGGGAUAGUUGAGAGUGGUUGAGGCAUGUAUCUCAUAGUUAGCCGAGUGUGGGCAGGGGCCCGUAUCUCCUUGAGUGUGGGCAAGGCCCGUAUCCCCUAGUUGCAUGUUAUAUGUUAUGUGUAUGGUAUAGGGUAGUUUGGGGAGAUUCAUUAAGCUUCAUGCUUACAUUUUUUAGUUUUGGUUUUAGGUACUUCUGGUAGCAAAGGGAAGAGCUCGGGAUGAUUGCAGCGCACACACUAUUUGUUCAGCCUAAGAUGUUUAGACUCUGAUAUUUUGACACAUGAUUUUGAUACAGUAUUUUGUUAUAAUGAUUUGAGAUACAUUACUUAUGAUUUUAUGAUAUGAUGAAUGGUAUUUAUGGUUUGAUGAAUAAUUAAAAACAAAAUUUUUGGACCGUAUUCUUGGGAUGUUUCAAGUUGGUAUCAGAGCCUUGGUUUGAGGAAUUCAGACACACUCUCAGGUGUGUCUGAACUCAAAUUGAGGACUUGGUAUGAAAAUUUUCAAAAGAAAAUCAUUUUCAUAAAAGGGAACUUUGAACAGAGAAAAGAAUUUCGAAAAGAGAAAAGAAUUUUGAAAUGACAAAAAGGGUGUGGUGCAUGCAAUCAGCCGAGAUCAAGUAAGUACUCCCAAAUUACCCAUACAAUUUAUGUUAUGAUAUGUUUAUGAGAACUGCAUGUUAGAUUAGGGCUAAGGAUCUAGGAAGGAUGCCUUAUGUGCAUGUUAUAUGUGUAUCAACUUUAUGAACUGCAUGCUAGUACAGAUUAGUCAAUGAUAUGAUAGUCUGAUUAGGAUAUGCUUGAUUAGGUGUACUCAAUGCUCGAAUGCUACUUGCUUUGUGCUUUUAGGAGUUUUAGUUAUCUCUAACUAACGUAAACGAAUACGUUAAGGUACAUAUUGUGAGGACUAAAUAAUUUUAGAAGGUUAGGUUUAGCCUUAUUUUGCAGCUCUCGUUUGAUCUAACCGUUGUAGGGUAGGACCUCUCAUUCGAAGAAUUAUCUAGUAUUAGUGAUAUGUAAUGGUAUCCACAAGCUGGAUAGGGGGAGAUAGUAGGGACUUCUUAUGCAGCUGAUGGCGGAGAGUGGGAUGGUGAUUACCCAAGGGCAAGCCUAGGAUGAGAUUAACGUGUGGAGUAGUAGUAGUAUAAGGGACUUGGUGAAGUCGAGGCAGUUCUUGAGGAAAGUAUGAAUAGAUGUGGAAGGUAGUAUGGGCCCAUACUACUGAAAGCGGUGGAUUCGUACUCGAAUCGGGGAAGGCUGAGAUGAAUCCAGUGAGGGAUUAGGCUCGGGCUAUGAAGUGCUUUUCAAUAUGGUGGUAUUACGCACUAGACCAGUCAGUAGUUCAGGUGCCGAUGAGGGAUCAGGCUCGGGCUAUGGAGCUGGGCAACUAGAUGACCAGACGAGGGAUUUUAUCUCCUUUGAGAUCACGCGCAGUAUUCUGGAUCAGACUCUUGUGAUCUUCAGCACGAUCAAGGAGUGUAUUUUGGAGAUUUUAGAGGAGAGACUGGGUGCCUUCCGCAACGAGGAGGCGGCCAUGAUGGGGUCACACACACUAACAUUCAGGGAGUUCAGAGCUUGUGGAGUUCCUGAUUACCAUCGGACUCGAGACCGCAUUACGAGCACCAGAUGGUUGGCUGAUGUCGCCAACUCAUUCCGCACCAGCAGAUGUCCCGAGGGGGACAAGGUCCGAUUUUCAUCCUGUCUUUCUAAAUGAUAGGGAGUGAGAUUCGUAGGAGGAGGACGAAGGUAGAUUCAGCUGCAAGAUGUUGGAAGAUAUGAUUGCUAGGGCUCGAGAGAGAGAUUUAGAUUUAGAGAUGGAGAUGGAGAUGGAGAGGAAGAGGAAACCAGAUGGGGUUCAGUCAUGGAAUGUGGGCAAGAAGCCCAAGGUAGAUUCCCAAGGGAAGGGCCGAGGCAUUGUGGCAAGUGUGGUAGGACACAUGAUGGGGUAUGUAGGGCAGGUAGUUCGGGCUGCUUUAAGUGCGGCCGAACUGGACAUUUGAGCAGAGAUUAUACAACUACUACCACCACCACGAUAGUAUCAAAUCUGAUUUGCUUUCAGUACAAUCAGAGGGGACACAAUUGGUUCCAAUUCCCGAGUUUAGCAACAGCAGGGCAGGUAGCAAGACCCACUUCUACUACAUUGAGUAUUACAGACGGCCGUCAGGGCUAGGGUGAGGCACAUGUGACAAAGAUUAGGGCCUUUCAGUUGACUAUAGAGGAGGCACGAGCAGCUCCCGACGUGGUGACGGGUAUGUAUCUUCUCUUUAUUUCUUUAUUUGUACCGAUUAUUGCUUAUGUUUAUGUGUUUUGUUAUAGGAUUGUUCUUAGUGAACGGUAUAUCAGCUUUGGUACUGUUUGAUUCGGGUGCUACCCAAUCUUUUUUGUCGCUCGCCCUCAGCAAGCGAUUCACUGGGGCUCCAGGGGAGCUGGAUUGCCCACUUGACGUAGAGAUAGCAGAUGAUAGGACCGUUCGGGUCGCGAAGGUUCAUCAACAAUGUACACUGCAGUUGAUUGAUGAGCAGUUUUCCGUGAAUCUUGUCCGUGUUCCCCUAUGAGGGAAUAAGGUUAUAGUUUGUAUGGACUAGUUGAGCCCCAAUGGGGCAGUAAUCAAUUGAGAGCAGCAGGUAGUGAGAGUUUAGACUCCUAAUAGGGGAGGGUUAGUGAUUCAGGGCGAGAGGCCAUAGGGUGGACUGACCCUAUGUUCAGCAGCGAGAGCGAGGCGCUAUCUUCAGCAAGGUUGCGUAGGCUAUGUUGAUGGGUUUUAUGUACUCUAACAUUCCUAUGGUGCACAUACAAACCUAAUGCUUUGAAUCUAAGUUUUCUCUAAUUAUACAUAUGAUAAGUUAUAAAACAAACUUGAAGAUCGAUUAGAUCUUUGUAACAUGUAUUGCGAUGAACACAAAAACAAUAAAUAACACAAAUGUGGAUCAAAAUAUGUCGAAUGAUUAGAUCAAACAUUCCUCAGCAGAGCUCGACUAAGAACUUCCGCUGUAGAGGAUUUAGGGUUACAAGAACGAUAACAAUAAACUUCUAAAUAAUUCUCUGAUCGAUCUAUUCUUCCGUUAACUGCUAAGAUGCAUGCAAGCACCUGUAUUUAUACUAAACCCUAUUAAACUCACGGAUGGACACGCCCAUACCGGAGAUACAAAACGGACUAGCUAACGAGCCCAAUAGACGCAACACUAUAUACAAAACACGACCCAACAAUCUCCCCCUUUGCGUCAAAUUGGAGCGAGACUACUUCUUCUUCUUGCUUGGGCCAGCAGCGGGAACUUUCUUCGUAGUAUCAAACAGACGUGAGAUUAGCGCCAGGAUAGUCUGUCUUAACCGAAUGUACCAUUGAAUCAUGUCAUCAAAGUACUUGACAUCAUCCGCUGUGUUCUGCUUGCAUCUGUGGAUGAUCCCCAAAACGUGCUCUAAACAUGCAGUGGUGUAGAGGUGUUUAUCAGCCAAGGCGAAAAGACAUUUAUGUCCUUCGUUCCUGGUAAACAUGACCGAGUUCCUCUUCGGAUCAAUCUUACCCAUCUGCAUCAGAUUGAGAUCACUGGCAGAGCCAACAGGAGAUAUUGUAGGUUUCUUCUUAAAUACGCUCGCAAUCUCCUGAUCCAUCAGUGCAACUUCCAUGAUGUAGCACACGAGCAUCCUCUUGAAGUGGUCGAUGAUCGGACCGUAUUCAGCUUCGUUGGUGAGGAGGAUGUUGUGCAAGAUAAUCCAAUCAUGGGGAUUAAGGUUGGGAAGAUCUGCAAGGGAAAUAGCAUGUUCGGUUUUGGCAGAUCCCCGAAGUACCUUGAACCGAACGUUGAUGAAGUUACCUUCACUGUACGGCUUCAAGACCCGAACGUUGACAAUUUUCUGAGCGCUCCAAGUCUGAUAUUGGGGUUGAGCAGCCUUCAGAUAGAAAUUGAUUAAGUCCCGAUCAACCUGUGGAUGAGGAUGAGGGAACUCUGCAACGUUGGAGAAGGCAUGAAAGAUAAACGCCUUUCGGGUCAGUGGCAUGUCGAACUGUGAGUCGACAGUGUUGGAACGAUCUAGAGAGAUCACAGGUUCCAGCCACAAGAUACUCGGUGUGUCAAUGGCUUCUUUAAUCAUCCUCUCGAGAGUCCAAGCAGGAAAAAGAGUUUUCCUACUCUCAAGAAGGUCGUGGGCUUCCUUCUGUUUACGUUCGGCUUCUUCAGCCUCUCUUGCCACACGAGCACUGAUAUCAGCCUCUCUGUCUCGACCUUGACGCUUCAACAGGUCGGCGAUUGUCUCUUUAUCUUCAUCUUCACUCUCCUCAGCAAUCUUUUUGCCUUUGUCUUUCACACCGGAACCGGAGGCUUGGCCUACUGGAGGAGGUUCGGUUGUGUGAGUUGUUGUUGAGGUAGGAGGUGGUUGAGACAUUGUUUCCUUCUCUCCCCUUGUUUCGGAAUGGACACGAAAUCAAGUAGCCCUUCGAUUUUGCUGAGUAGGGCAACGGCGGGAGCGAGCUUCUCUGCAAGGUCACGCCUCACAGUGUAAUUGAGAAUGGGAUCAUGUGCUUCUAGGAUGUUUGAGAUUGCAGAGUGGACAUCCGAAACACACGAUUUUAUCACUUCUCUUUCAGAUCGAAGAGAUUCAAUCUCCUGUUGAGAGUGGGAGAGUUGAAUGCUCUUGACCUUCAAAGCGGUAGUCUUCCUCGCGAGAGCAUCCAUGAGAGUGUUCUCGCCAGCCAAAUCUUCUUGAAGCUUUGAGAUACUCUCUUCAAUGGUUGUGCGGAAAGCUGAGUUGUCAUCAGAAAGUGUUUGACGGAGAGAAGCGAAGGACUUCAACUCAGUUGUGACUGAUGUUGCCAGCUGGUGAACAAUAGGUUCCAGCGUAGUCUUGGCAGCGUUGGCACUCUCCUGUAAAGACUUUAACAAGGAAGAGGCAUCAGUAAAUAGUUUAUCGACUUUUUCGGUCGCAGCCUGACAGGCUUUUGUAGAAGCAUCAAUGGCGGUGGUGGCAGAAGCAAGGGAAGCUUGCUGAGCUUUGGAGAAAGCUUCAACAAUUUUCUGAACUGCUGCUUCAGAUAGGGAUGACUGAGAAGUGGAAGAGGAGGCGAUGAGCGAGUCAAUUUUGUCAUGGAGCUCCUGGAGAUGCCUUUUGGUAACAGGAGCGUCGUCAUCGUCAUCACUUUGUACUUGAAACGAGCUAUAGUAGACCGAUUCAAAAGUCAUAUUCUCCCCGCCAAGGAGUGGUUCUUCUUCCUCUGAUGCAUGACCAGGAGAAUAUGGUGGUGGUGAAGCUGGUAGUUCGGUAGUAUGGGUAGGUUCGGGUUGGGUUGUUUGUUCGGGUCUAGGUGUGGGUUCGGGUGCUGGGGUGGUUUCAGGUACGUCAGUAUGAACCCCAGUAUCAGAUACGUUGGUUCGCACUUCAACAAUGGUGGUUGUGGUUGCUUCAGAAAAUAUGGGUGGUAUUGGGAUGGAAGUGGUUGGAAUUUGUGUAGUGGGGGCUAUGGGGGGAAUGGAAGUAGGAAUUGUUUUAGGAGGAGAGGAAAUAGGAGAAGUAGAGACAUGAACUUCAGGGGUUGGGGAUCGUGGUGGAGUGUUACCACGUUGAGAGCCUUUAGAAUCAGAACUCUCACCAUUAGACUCGCUUGAGGAGGAAGCGAUAACUAGCUUUCGCCUUGGUUGAGUUUUUCUCCUCUUCUGCUGUGGAGACUGAGCAGUCCUGAUGGGUUUCCUCUUCUUUGGAGACGGGCCUUUUGCCCCUUUGACCACCUGUUUUCCCUUAUCAGCCUUCUUGCCUCUUGGAGCAGGCUUGUCGGCGUCAUGAAUUGAUUUCAGCAUCUCCGGAGUAAGCUCUCUCGGACCAGAACGCUUGAACCCCUUGUACGUCUUGAUAAUCNCAGGAACAUCCCCAUACAUGGUUUCCGGGAUAGACCCGUUGAAGGGAAACUUGGAAGCAUCCGACACAAUGAUCUUCGUGGUAUGGAAGGUACCGAUCGAAGACAUUGGAGCACCAGCGACAAUGGGGACGUGGUACUUGUCCAUCACCCAUUUUGUGAUAAUGGUCCAAAACCUGGCAUAAGAGAUCUCCGAGUGUUGGGAAGUUGAGGAGAGACUCUGAAUGAGUUGUUGCCACAGAACGGACCCAUAAUCCAUGUUGAUGCCAUUGUAGAUCCCAUACAUGAUGGAGAGAAAUAAACGAAUGGCUCCAUCAGAUCCCGCACUUCGUUUAGAUAAACCCUUGAACAAAACAGUGAACAUCCCAUUCCACUGUGGAAGUAGACAUGACUUUUUGAAUUUUGCCACCGAAGUAAGCACCUCUGUGUAGCCCAUGUUGUAGAACAUGUUGAACAAGUGACCCAUGGGGAUUGAUUCCGGAUUGACCGUGGAAGAAUCUGCGUCAAACCCUAACAGUGUGCAGAACCGCUGCUUUGAAAUCGAUGCCUUAUGCUGAAAAACAUCGAAGAAGAUUCUGUCGACGACCUUGUCGUAGUGAGCGGAGGCAAAGAUCUGUGACAGGAACUCCAUUGGAACAGUCUCAACCCUAGAAAGAGCUGGAGCGAUUGGAGAAUACUUCAGGCACUCCAUGAUGGGGAACAUGAACGCAUCAUACGAAUGUGGGGUUAAAUCGAUGAUCAAGCUUUACUGUGGGCGAAUGGGCAAAAUGUGGGAUGUUGCGUGAACUGAGGAAGAAUCUGCCAUUGCUUUUCAAGAAAGUGGAGAAGAUGAUGAACAGUGAAGGUUUAAGGAAUUCUUGCUCUCUGGAAAUAUAGGCACGGUAAAGUGGUAAAUGGUGGAUUACAUCGCCUUUUAUAGUGAGGGUAAAGGAGAGAGAAAAAUCUUUCCAAAUCUUCGAUCGAAAAACGAAGGGUUUUUCAGAGUUGACUGAUGCAUGACAGUUGGCGCUGGCGAUGAUCACGCAUGAGAGAGAGUGUCAGACCCUAAUUACACGCCUUCCCAUCAGGCGCCGUUUGGAGAUGAAACGAUUCCGAUUCGCACGCUAUCCGUUUUGCGCCGUUUGAAAUCAAAUCGAUUGGACUCUCGCCUGAGUCAUCAUGUCGUCAUCUUAUCCCUUUAAAUUGUAACGGCAUCUUUCAAAAAUUUGUCCACGUGGAUUAAAAUGCACCACAAUCUUUUAUAACAACCAAGCCAAUUAAAACCCCUUGAAAUUAAUGAAACCAGAAUUUUGGAAAAUCAAAAAGAUUUUCGUGCUGAGUGUGUAAAAGAUAAGAAGAAAUAAAGCAACAUUUUUUGUGGGAUUAUGUGAUGUCAAUAAAGACACGAAACAAAGGAUCCCGGGCACGAAUCUCUUCCUUCAAAGUCAAGAGAGACCUUAAAGUGUUUGUGUGGUUUCCCGUUGAAUAACGAUCAGACACUUGUUAAGAAGUGUUGAAAGGCUUCUUUUAAUUAGGCUUAUGAGGGUGGCUUUCGCUUCGAUUCAGAAUUCCUAAUCUUGAAAUAAGACAGAAAUUGAACGAAGUACUUGUGAGACCGGUGUAGUCUGUUGAACAAGUGGGUUUGAGAUAAUUUAAUUUGGCUAGGAAAUAUAUAAAAUCUCAACAAAAAUUAAAACUGGAUUCCAAGAGAAGAAAUGUUAUUGGGUUUAACAAUUUCAUAGGAAUCACACAAAAGAAAAUUUUGAGAUUUCAUGGAGGUACGUCCGUCAAUUCAUUAGUGAAAACUAGAGCAAAUUAAUUGUUCACCGUCAAUUCGUAUUGGGUAUUGAAUUUUGGGUUUCACUUAGCUCGUAGUGGCACGAGACUAAGAUCAUAAACACAUAAAUUUGUGUAACCAUAAACCUCAGUGGUAAUUUCUGAGAGUCUCAAGGGUUAUGUUGGUGAAACGAAUGAGAUGAAGAAAUAUAAUGUUGAUGUUGUAAAGAAACCAAUGUACCUCUGCUGUGAAGAGAAGGACCAAGCAGAAAACUCUUAUCUCAUGUGAGAAGAGAGUUAGGUAGCUCAUGAUUAGAAUAAAUAUGAAAGCCUAAUUGGGAAGACAAGGUUUGUUUAUACCAAGUCAGUAAGGCUAUUAUUCAGAAUCAGGUGAGGCUUUGGACACAUACAUCAGCAUACUUCUAGGGACACUUAGCUAAUUAACCGAUUUCCCCAUAAACGAACACAAAAGAAAAUUAGAGCCAAAAAGAAAAUAAAUAACAAAAUAUUUUUGGAGUUUUUGAAUUUAUGAAGAAGAAAAAAAAUAUUUUUGGAAUUUUUGAUAAUAAAAUAAAAAAAAAAUUAAGACAAAAAAAAUAAAUACAAAAAAAGUUGGAACCGAACCUGAGCGUUCGGUUUAUUUCGGUAGUGAAAAACUUUGGAACCGAACCCGAGCGUUCGGUCUAUUUUGGGUGAGAAAAAUUUUGGAACCGAACCCGAACGUUCGGUCUAUUUCGGGUGAGAAAAAUUUUGGAACCGAACCCGAGCGUUCGGUCUAUUUCGGGUGAGAAAAAUUUUGGAACCGAACCCGAACGUUCGGUUUAUUUCGGUUGCCAAAGAAAAUAGGUUUGAAAAAGAGAAUAACUUUUACAAUAAGAAAAAUGCAUUUGGAAAAAUUAUACAUAAGAUCUACAACCAAGGAAACUACCUUUGAGUGAUGAGCGAAAAACAGAUUAUGCAACCGAACCCGAGCGUUCGGUUAAUUUCGGUACAUUAGCACAAGACCCGAACCCGAACGUUCGGUCUAUUUCGCUUCUUACUUUUGAUCUUGAGAGGUAAUUUUUGGUACUGACUCCGAUUCCAUCAUACCUAGCCCUUGUAGUAUUUUGUUAAAAGAUGCUUCAGGAAGAGCUUUGGUGAAGAUGUCAGCCAGUUGAUCAGUGGUUCGAACAAAGUGAAUUUCGACGUUCCCAUCUUCCACAUGAUCCUUAAUGAAGUGAUACCUCAGUGCUAUGUGCUUAGUCUUGGAGUGUUGCACUGGGUUAUGACAGAUCCUAAUUGCACUUUCAGAGUCGCAAUAUAGUGGGAUCUUUUUCAUAUUGAGUCCAUAGUCCCAGAGUUGGCUUUGGAUCCAAAUCACUUGAGAUGUACAGGAGGCAGCUGCGAUGUAUUCUGCUUCAGCGGUAGACAAAGAUACACAAGUCUGUUUCUUUGAUUGCCAGCUAACCAACUUCCCGUCAAGGAAUUGGCAGCCUCCCGUGGUGCUUUUCCUGUCUAGUCCACAACCUCCAAGGUCUGCGUCGGAGUAGGCUUGAACAAAGAAUCCUGAGUUGGAUGGAUACCACAAGCCUAGAGAGGUAGUUCGCUUGAGAUACCGGAGUAUGUUCUUCACUGCAAGCAUAUGAGGUUCACGAGGAUUCGCCUGAAAUCUAGCACAGUAACAAAUAGAGAACAUUAUAUCAAGCCUGCUAGCAGUAAGAUACAUCAGAGUGCCGAUCAUCUGGCGAUAUAGCGUAAUAUUAGCUGCUGGCUUAUCCAAGGAUGGAGUGAGCUUGGUGCCGAACGCCAUUGGAACUUUAACCUUUGAGUCACCCAUCAUGCCGAAUUUCACAAGGAGAGUCUUGGUGUAGGCUUCCUAGUUAAUAAAGAUGCCUUCGGGUCCCUAUCUAAUAUUUAAACCAAGAAAAAAGUUAAUCGGACCCAUUGAGCUCGUUUCAAAUUUAGUCUCCAUAAGCUUUCUGAAUUCAGCCGUUAAGCUAGGAUUCGUUGAGCCAAAGAUGAUGUCAUCGACGUAGAUUUGAACAAUCAUAAGGUGGUUACCUUCCUUCUUACGAAAGAAGGUCGGGUCAACCGAACCUUGUUUGAAUUUGGACAUCUUUAAAAACUUGGUUAGCGUUUCAUACCAGGCCCUCGGAGCUUGUUUCAGUCCAUAUACCGCUUUGUCCAAAAUAUAACAGUGAUUGGGGUACCUUUCAUUUACGAAUCCAGGAGGUUGCUCCAUGUACACCGUUUCUUCAAGUUCUCCAUUUAGAAAUGCGCACUUGACAUCCAUUUGGUAGACCUCAAAGUUCUUGUGUGCAGCAUAAGCAAGAAAUAUUCUAACAGAUUCCAGCCUAGCUACAGGAGCAAAAGUUUCUUCAUAGUCGAUGCCUUCCUCCUGGUAGUAUCCUUUCACCACUAUACGGGCUUUGUUUCUUAUCACAUUGCCUUCCUUAUCCAUCUUAUUUCUGAAGACCCAUUUGAGACCAACAACCGAGGCAUCCUAAGGAGUUGGAAUGAGGCACCAAAAUUUAUUUCUUUCGAACUCAUUAAGUUCGUCUUGCAUAGCUUGAACCCAAUCGGAGUGAUCAAGAGCAGUAUUAAUUGUCUUUGGUUCAACUUUUGAGACGAAGGAGUUAAACAUACAGAAUUCUACUUUUGAAAAUAAGGAAGUUUGUUUUGCCUUUAGUUGUGAUCGGGUCAGGACCUUUUCAGAGACAUUACCGACAACCUGUGAACAGGAUGAUCUCUGGUCCAUUUGACAAGAGGAGGGUAAUUUGGAUCAUAGGAUGGAUCCAAUUCGACAUUUACCAGCUCUUCUAGUUCAGAUUGACUAUCAUCGUCAUAAGACACAUCGGCAUUCUCCCCCUCGACAGAUAAGCUUUCAGGUAUAUCUUGAGUUUCCGGAGCUGCAAUAGUUUCGGGUGGUGUCGAGCUUUCGGGUGUUGUAGCACCUUCGGGUGUUGUAGUACCUUCGGGUGCAGAUUGGCUUUCGGGUACAUCUGGACUUUUGGGUAUAGCCGGGCUUUCGGGUGUAGCUGGAGAACUGUUCUCCCCCUCAAUAUGUGAGCCUUGCUGUGUUGAAGAAGAUGGAUCCUCCCCCUCAACUAAAGCAUCGUGCUGUGGAGGUUCGUUUGGACUUGAUCCUCCUUCAUUCAUUUGCUUAGUAGCAUCUUCGAUGAGUUGCUUCAGAUGAUCUACUUUUUUGUCUACUGCACUAGCUUCCGAGAGCGUAGCCUUCUCUGGUUCAUCGAAUAACUCAACAAACUUUUCAAAUAUAUUUGCGAUCGAGGCUGUGACUUGGCCUGUUUGAGGAAAAAUUUCUCCAACUGUGUCUUUAGUGGCCUUCAUCUUUUUGACAUAGCUAUCAUCAAAAGUCACAUAAUAAGUUUCUUCUAUUUUCCUCGAAUGCUUGUUUAAUACCCGAUAGGCUUUCGAAGUGAGAGAAUAUCCCAGGAAAAUCCCUUCAUCGGCUUUGACGUCGAACUUGUUACGAUGUUCUUUAGAAUUGAAGAUGAAACACCGUGAGCCGAAUACAUGGAAGAAUUUGACAUUUGGCUGCCUGUUGUUGAUGAUCUCAUAAGGAGUGAGAGUGAAGCGCUUAUUGAGAUAGGACAUGUUCUGCGUAAAACAUGCUGCAGCAAUAGCAUCAGCCCAAAAAUAUAAAGGUAAAUAAGCAAAACUUAGCAUGGUUCGGGACGCCUCACAGAAAGAUCGGUUUCGUCUUUCGACAAUCCCGUUUUGUUGAGGGGUGUAUGGAGGUGAGAAGUUAUGACUGGUUCCUUUUUUGGCCAAGAACUCUUCGAAUUCUUUAUUUUUGAAUUCCAGCCCAUUGUCGCUCCUGAUGUUGAGAACGACUUUCCUCAGCUGCACUUCAACCUGCUUGAUAAACAUCUUUAGCUUGAGAGUUGCUUCAGAUUUGUGCUUCAGAAAGAACACCCAUGUAAAACGUGAAAAGUCAUCAACAAUAACAAGAAUAUACUUGCUACCGCCGAUGCUUUCGAUAGAUGAUGGACCACACAAGUCAAUGUGAAUUAACUCUAGUGGUUCAACAACUUUAGUGUUUACAAUCGAUGGGUGACUUUGACGACUCUGCUUCCCCAUUUCACACGCAGCACACAAAUGUUCUCGAUCGUAAUUGAGCAAUGGAAGACCUCGAACAUGACCUCCGGUGACAAGUUUGUUGAUAUCCUUGAAGUUGAGAUGAGAGAGCCUUCGGUGCCACAGCCAACUUUCGUCAGAUUGUGCUUUGGAUAACAGGUAGAUAGCUAGAUUUCCUUUUAUUGGUUUGAGAUUCAGGGGAAACAUUUCGCCUUUGCGCUCCGAUUUGAGAAUAACUCUUUUUGUUUUCUUCUCUAUUAUUUCCGAACCCUCAUCGUUGAAUGAGACCUUGAGACCGGUACCUCCAACAAGCUGAGAUACACUGAUGAGGUUGUGCUGUAGUCCUUCAACGUAUGCAACCUUUCUAAUCGUGAAGUCUCCAUUUGUAAUCAUUCCAUAGCCUUUUAUUGUGCCGAAUGAGUUGUUCCCGAACUUGACAUUUCCACCGUUUGAAAGAGACCGAAAUUCUCUCAGCUCUUCCUUCCUUCCUGUCAUGUGACAUGAGCAGCCACUGUCAAUAUACCAUUCUUCGUCGAACUGCUCGUCACUGAUAACCUGCAAAAAUCAAGCAGAUUUAGGAACCCAAAGUUUCUUGGGUCCACGUGAGCCUUUCACAGGAACAGGAAUAGUAAGAGUGAUGUCAACAAAAUAUGUUCUUUUUAUUAACGUUGUUUCAUCUUUCUUUUUAAUGGUGAAAACCAUAAUUUUAUUGGGAUUUGUUACUGUCGGUUUGGAUUCAGGUUUAGGUAUUUGGACUUUGGGAUGAUUUGGAUCUGUCUUGACUGAUAAAACCUUCGAUUUUCCUUUCAGAUCUAUUGAAGAUUUUGGAUUUUGAGUAUGAACAGAAUUGAAUUUAGAAUGAGGUUGAGAGGAAUUGGAAGAAUUAGAACGAGAGAAGUUAGACUGAGAAGUUUUAUUAACUUGAGGUCCUGAGUGACACUUUUGUUUUUGGUCAUUUGUGGGACCGAACCUAGAACUUUGGUCGCUUUUGCUCUCGGAACCAAACUUCUGCUUUUGGUAGCUUGUGUUCUCUGAACCGAACCUUUUCCUUCGGUUGUCAUAUUUUUCAGAACCAAACUUGUCCUUUCGGUUGUUAUGAUCCUCAGAACCGAACCUAUCCUUUCGGUUGUCACUACUUUCUUGCGGUCUAACAGCAUUUUUCUCUGACUUCGAAUUUCUGUCAUGAUAAGAGAAAUGGAUGUUUUGAGAUUGACAAAACUGUUUUCGUUCAUAGAGAUUCUUCUUGUAUCUCUGAUUCCUUUGUUGUUUUUGAUUCUUCACUUGCUUCGACUGUCGAUGGAUAUUGGCUUUUUUGCUUUUGCUUUUUGUCAGCCGGUUCACUUUGAACUGAUGAUGUUUCGCUUGAAGGAGUGACUCCUUUUGCAGAAACUCCUUUUUCUUCAGGAACAUCUUUUGUACCACUAGUACUUGGCAUGUCGAAGUUAUCAGGCGUGUUCAAAGGUUCUGGCACAUAUCUGCCUUUGGUUUUCCAGGACGUCCUUUCUGACAGACCAACGGUUUCGUCAGCAUUGUCGAUAGGGGCAGACCAGAAGAACUCAUCACAACCAUCAGCAUUAUCUUCGUUUACAAUGGCUGUGAGUUCGGCUGUUUGAUGUUCGGUUACACCUGUGACCUUAUACACCUGAUUUGGAGUCGUCCUUACCUUUUGGUAUACAACAACCUUUUCUUCAAGGAUCGGGGACUUUUGUUGGGACAGACGAGCAAACUCCACAGAAUUUUCUGAAAUAAGAUUUUUGUGGUUUUCGGGUUCGCUCUUGACAAACUCAGAACAGUCAACUUCAUCCUCUACAGAAAUUUCACUCAUAUCAUCGUCCUCAUUGAGCUCAGAUGCAUUUUCAACAUCAAUUUUAUUUUCUGAGCUCAAGUUGGCAUCCAAUGAGUCUAACUUUUGUAUGGUUUCGGUUCUUAGUUUCAGUUUAUCAUUUUCAUCCAAAAGAUUUUUCAGCAUGUCUUUAUUGUCCUCGGACUUUAUGAAAGAUUCGAUUUUGUCUAGUCCAUACAUAUAAGUCGGAUUUACAUCCUCAGACGAAACUACACUUUUGCAAUUGUAUGCUUCAGCGUCGAUUUCAUCUUCUUUAAACUCAAGGAAGGGAAAAAUCAUGCGAUGAAUUUUCUGCCCUAUUUCACAGUUNACAGUUAAGAUGAAGUUGAGUGAUGUUAGAAUAAAGACGCUUAGCAAUCAAACAAAACACAUUUCUUUGUUUCAAAAGUUUUAAAUUGUCUCUUUGUAAAUAAAUGUUUUCGUCUUUGGAUUUGAUCAACUCCGACUCCUUCAGCUCUAUCCACAUCCUCCGUUCCUCACUCUUUGAAGACACCCUGCUUAUUUGGUCAGUUAGGUUAGAAUUGGUGACCCGUGUUUGAGUUAAACUGCUGUCUAGAUGAGAGAUUCUUGAAUUUACAUUUUUUAAUUCUUUUUCAUAUGAAUUUUGUGGGACUUUGAAUGAAACAAAAAUAGAUUGUACCUUCUUGAUUAAUUCAUCAAGCUCAUUAAACUGCAUGCUGAGAGGUUUUGCUGUGAAGCACAAGUCCUCUCGCUCCUUCGUGUCUUCAUUCCCACCGUGUGUGUUGUAUCCCCUCAUAUGAGAUACAUCCGACACCAUCAAGCACUUUCCACCGCUUCCUUCACCUUUCGCAACAAGCCUUUCCAUGAGAUGGCUUCCUGACUUCAUCAUCCUCAGAGUCGGUUGACCAGACCUCCAUGCCACCGAACUCAUCAUCCGAUACCAAACCCUGCACAAUUAAAGCAUUCAUUGAAGGGUUAGUGACAACUUUCUUUCUCUUGAUCUCUUCCAGCUUUUUCAUCAACACAACUACUUCAUCUUUCUCCUCAUCCUUUUCUGCUAUUUUCUUGAGGACACAGUCUUUGGCAUAGUGGUUCUUUCCUUCACAAUAAUAGCACUUCACACCCAAAUCUCCUUUAGCUUUCGGUUCUUUCUUUGGUUCUUCUGCCUUCGGUUCUUCCCUGACCUUUUCGGAACUAUAACUUCCCUGCCAAUUUCGGUUCUUAUUGGUAGGAAACCUUUUCUUGAUGAACCUCUUUGGGUUUGACACCAUCAUUGCAUAGUCUUCAGAGGUAAGGUCAUAGUCUUCUAAGUUAAGGUCUUCAUCUUCCAUCACACUUUUGCUUUUAGAAAGAAGGGCCAAGGAACCCAAGCUUGAAACCACAUUUUUCUCCUACAAGACAAUCUUUUCUUGGGAUUUCAAAAUCCCUACCAGCUUAGCCAAUGAAUAAGAUUUGAAUUGCUCAUGGGCUUUGACAGUGGACACAACCGCUCUCCACUCAGAUCUGAGACCGUUUAAAAACAUGACUUUUUGUUCAAUCAAGUUCCUUUCAAUAUCGUGUUUAAUCAUCUUACUAAGAAGAUGAUUGAAGCGAUCGAAUGUCUGAGUAACAGUUUCCUCCGGAUUCUGCUUAAAUUCACCAAACUCAGACAAAAGCAAGGUUUGAAUGGAAUGCUCUAGAUCUUCUUCUGUGGAGUAUAGCUCUCGCAGCCUAUCCCAUAUUUCUUUAGCAGUGCUGCAUGAACUCACUAGCCUGAAAGUAUCAGAUUGAAGAGCGAAUCUGAUCAAUCUCAAUGCUUUAAUAUUGCACUGAAACUUAUCCUUUUCGUCUUGGGCAAUAUCUUUUACGUCCUUCAACAGAUCAUUAUACUCUUUCUGAGUUUUAAUGAUUCUUGACGUUGCUGAAUGAGCGAAUGGUCCAGACACGAUUCCUUCCCAAAUAAGAUUUCCAUUGUCUUCAGAUCCAAUGACAUAAUCUUCAAAGUGAUGUGCCCAGACUUCGUAAUCCUGGGUGUAAAGGAUGGGAAUCUUCGUCAUUGAUCCAAUGCUGUUUGAGAUGUUAAUGGGAUUUGAUUGUGACUCGUCCAUGCUUGAUCAUAAAACCUGUUUGAAAGACCAGACUUGUAAUAUAUUAAAUUAGGGCAACACAAAUAAAUGCUGAGUUACGUCAAUUAUGGGAUGACGGCUCAAUAAAUAUUAGUUAAUGCGGAAUAACCCUAAUCGCAACCUUUUUCACAGAAAAGAUGUGUAUGAAUUACACAGCCUCCUGCUCUGAUACCAAUUGUUAAGUUAUAAAACAAACUUGAAGAUCGAUUAGAUCUUUGUAACAGGUAUUGCGAUGAACACAAAAACACUCAAGAACACAAGUGUGGAUCAAAAUAUGUCGAAUGAUUAGAUCAAACAAUCCUCAGCAGAGCUCGACUAAGAACUUCCGCUAUAGAGGAUUUAGGGUUACAAGAACGAUAACAAUAAACUUCUAAAUAAUUCUCUGAUCGAUCUAUUCUUUCGUUAACUUCUAAGAUGCAUGCAAGCACCUAUAUUUAUACUAAACCCUAUUAAACUCACGGAUGGACAGGCCCAUACCGGAGAUAAAAAACGGACUAGCUAACGAGCCCAAUAGACGCCACACUAUAUACAAAACACGACCCAACAACAUACAACAUUGUUUUUCCAAAGCAUAAAGCCUUAACUAGCAUGCAAUGUAACAUUUGAAUCAUAAAAAACAGUUAGAAGAUUAUCUUGUGUAGUAGCUUGCUUGUAUUUGACCUUUAGGAGCCUAGCACCUCAAGUGUGAUUUCUCAAAUGUCUUACAACAAAACAAGAACAAGAUAAUGGACUUGAGAGAGAAGUUCGGGAGCUCAAAAUUGGCUAGCUUCUACUUUACCAUACAACCAUGCAAACCCUAAUUCACCAUGACUCUUCAUAUUACAUAGGCCUUUUGGGCUAAACCUUUCAUGGACUUUCAUGUACGUUUUGUCCAACCCUAGUCAACAUGGAUCAUGGGUCCAACUAUAAGUAUUAUUGAUUUACCUAAUCACUCCCCGUAACUUUAAGUAGUCUCUUUUGAUCACUGAAUUAAUUAUGGAUCAAUACUAAUUAAAUAAUGUGAUUUCUCAAUUAAUAUAUUAUACUUAUAAUAUAUUAAUAAAUCACAAUAACCUCUUCCUCAAAUAUCCAUCCUAUCAAAUUACUCUAGAAUGUUGCAACCCAAAUGGACCAUGCUAUUAUCGGGUCAACCACAUAGCAAUUAUAGUUAUGGGUUUAGACACCUAAUCCAACAGUCUCCCACUUGGAUAAGUCUAAUAACUAUAACUGCCAAUGUAGCUUCAAAAUCCGAGUAGUAAUCGUAGCUCUCUAAAAGCGGUUAUCGAAUCUUGACGUACCAUUUAGAUAAGGGAUCAUAUAAUCAUCUGUUAUUCAAGAUAUCAUGCGGAAAAAUACAUGGAACAUAGUCAUACUUAUUGUCCAGCAGUUUGUUUCCUGAUUUCUGAUUUAUUUCACAUAGAACUUAAUUGAACACAUCAAUUUAGUCCUGACCUGGCCCGACACAUAUUUCAAAACAAAAUCAUUGAGGGGCCCAAGAUAUCGCUUUCAAUCCUCUUAGGAUAAAAGGAACAGAUAAACUUCCACAUAUAUGCUUGUACUAACUACUUGUUAAAUCAUACACAACAACAUGUUUUAUAACAUCAAGUUACUAAUGCGGUUUCACACUAUUAGUGUACAACCAAAUCAUAAUCAACAACUCAUAUAUUUUGGUUUAAAAGUUAUACGAUAUUAUCGUCUCACAAUCACUUGUGAUAAAUUCCAUGAAGUGAUUCAUGUGAGCGCGGGUUUAGUCCAAUACUCAAAUCUUAUUUCAAGAGCACUCAUGAAUGUUGUAGAAAACCUUUCCAAUGUCUAACACAUUAGACAAUCUUACAAAACCCAUUCAUGACAGUCUAUUUUCAUAACCUACUUCCUAAGUAUGAUCGACUGUGGAUAGUUUGAAUAACUUUAUUAUUCUGGAAGUCAAAAAAUGCAAAAGUGAAACAAUAGUAAAUAAUUGACACAAGAUAGUAACUUUACUCAUAAAUAAAACUCAUUUUAUUCAAUCACCAAAUGUCAAUUACAUUUUAGCUAUUACAAGUUUCUAAAUAUUUAUUUAAUCACUAAAACUAAUAUCAUCCUUCAGCCCAAUACUCCUUGCAUGCAGCAAGUGCUUAUCCCUGCUCAGUCCCUUUAUAAGGGGAUCUGUUGGGUUCUUCUCUGACGGUAUCCUCUUUACUACGAGUUGUCUUUCUUCUACUUGAUGUUGUAUAAAGUGAUAUUUUAUGUUGAUAUGCCUGGAUCUACCAUGAUCCCUUGGUUCCUUGGCUAAGGCAACUGCACUUUCAUUGUCACAGAAAAUAUCCAUAGGCUCCUUUACAGCUGGUACAACUCCAAGGUCUCCAAUGAAGUUCUUCAACCAUAUUGCCUGCUUUGUUGCUUCGCUUGCUACUAUGUACUCUGAUUCACACGUUGAAUCAGCCACAGUUUCUUGUUUGGAACUUUUCCAUGUUAUUGUUCCUCCAUUAAGAGUAAAUACCCAGCGCGACUGAGAGCAGAAAUUAUAUUUGUCGGUCUGAAAGAUAUCGUCACUAUACCCUGUCACUCUCAAUUCAUCACUCCUACUGAGGGUAAGGACCCAGUUCUUAGUCCUCCGAAGGUACUUAAGAAUGUUCUUUACAACAGUCCAGUAAGCUCUCCCAAGGUUCCCUUGAUAUCUGCUGACCAUGCUCAAAGCAAAGGUCACAUCGGGACGAGUACAUGUCAUAGCAUACAUGAUCGAGCCAACUACAGAAGCAUAUGGUAUUCCACUUAUUUAUGCUAUUUCAGCCUCUGUACUCGGACUUUGAGUUUUACUCAGUUUGCUAUUGCUCUGGGUAGGUAAGUCUCAUUUCUUGGAAUUCUCCAUGCUGAAACGUUUCAACACCUUAUCCAAGUAGGUACUUUGACUAAGUCCUAUCAGUCUUUUACUCCUGUUUCUCAAUAUCCUUAUCCCUAGAAUGUAAGCAGCUUCUCUGAGGUCCUUCAUAGUGUAACAUUUCCCAAGCCAGGACUUAACCUCCUGCAAGGUUGGAAUGUCGUUUCCUAUGAGCAGUAUGUCAUCCACAAACAACACCAGAAAGCUAAAUACACUCCCACUAGCUUUGACAUAUACACAGGAAUGAUCCUCGCUUCUCGAAAAACCAAACUCUUUGAAUUUCUCAUUGAAACAAAGAUUCCAUCUACGAGAUGCUUGUUUUAAUCCAUAAAUGGAUUUCUCAAGCUUACACACUCCAUUAGGGUACUUUGCAUUGACAAAAUCCUCUAGAUGAUUUAUGCAAACAUCUUCAGCCAACUUCCCAUUAAGGAAAGCGGUUUUGACAUCCAUUUUCCAUAUUUCAUAAUCAUGAAAUGCAGCUAUGGCUAGCAUAACCCUUAUAGAUUUAAUCUUCGCUACUGGUGAGAAGGUCUCAUCAUAGUCAAAUCCAGGAGUUUGAGUAAAGCCCUUCGCAACCAAUCGCGCCUUAUAAGUGUGUACUUUCCCAUCCAUGUCGAUCUUCUUCUUGAAGAUCCAUUAGCACCAGACUGUCUUAUGACCCGAUACAUUAUCAACCAAGUUCCAAACUUGAUUGUCAUACAUGGACUAAAUCUCGUUGUCCAUCGCCUCUUUCCAUUUUGCAGACUCGGGCCUGCCAUAGCUUCCUUGUAGUUGUUAGGUUCAUCCAACUUUAACAGUGUACUAUCACUGAUAAAUGUGUCACCUUCAGUAGAAAUAUGGAAACCAUAAAACUCGGGUGCCUGUCUAACUCUACUGGAACGCCUUAGAGGUAAGGACUCGUCAAUCGAUUCAACGAGAGUUUCAUCCUCAGGUUGAGCACUAGUGUUUGAGGUUCCUUCAUCGCUUAACUCUUGAAGCUCUUCAAGGUCAAUUUGCCUCCCACUAUCCUCUUGGCAUAUGAGUUCUCUCUCGCAAAAGACUCCUCUCCUUGAAACGAAGACAACAUUGUCACUCGGUCUAUAUAAGAGAUAUCCAAAAUAUUUCUGUGGAUAACUGAUGAAAAUACAAUGCUCACUUCGAGGUUCGAGCUUGCGUGAGUCUCUUUUCUCACAAAAGUCUCACAACCCCAAACUUUGAUGUGUGCUAACGAGGGAACCUUCCCUGUCCACAUCUCGUGAGGUAUUUUGGAAACCUUUUUAGUUGGGAAUAGAUUAAGGAUAUUGGCGACAGUCUCUAAGGCAUACCCCCAGAAUGAGAUAGGUAAUGGAGCUCGACUCAUCAUGGAACGAACCAUGUCUAGCAAGGUUCGAUUGCACCUUUCAUCCACACCAUUAAUGUAACGCCCUGAUUCUUAGGUAUUAAUUUAUGGCUUUAAUUUUCAUAAUUGCAAGUUCUACUCGACGAGUUGGAUGCCCUGAUUCGUCGAGUAGCAGCGAGUUGGGCCACGUGUUUAAGUGACCUACUCGCUGAGUCCAAGAUAGGACUCGACGAGUAGGAGUUGGAGGAUGAAACCCUAAUUUUCGGGGUUUUGCACCCUAUUUAAAGGAUCAUUAGCCUCCUUUAGCCCCCUUACAGCCUCUUGAGAGUCCAGCAAACCCUAAUAUGUGUGUAUGCUCCAUUUUUGUUUGUUUUAAGCUUUGGAAGGUGGAUCUUAGUCAGAGGAGCUUGAAGAUCAAGUAGCUAGCAGCAAUGAAUGUGUGUGGAUCUGAAAUCUACCUCAGUUAGCAUCAUUUGAAGGUAUCAAGUUGUUAUCUUGACCUCAUUUCCUUCUAGAUCUCAUUUGGUUAAAGAUUAGGGCUUUUCUAGCAUAUUAGGAAGCUAUUCGUGGGUAUGAGCUAAGGUCUGAAGUUGAACUUCAGAUCUGAACUCUCUUUGGUCUCUAAGUCCAUAAAGCUUCCAGCUUUAGCAAUUAUAAACCUCUCCUUAGCUAUAAAACUCCAUUAUAAGCUUGGAUUUGACAUUCUAAGUCUUUAGAGCCUUGCAUGCACGUAAAGUUUGCAACUUUACGUGAUAAACAUGUCUUGGGAAUCUUGAUCUGCAAUACGGAACCUUAAAAUGGCUUAAAAAGCAUCUAAAUGGAUAAAAGACUGAAGGGACUCGGCGAGUUACAUGGUUAACUCGGCGAGUCCGAUGAAGAUUAUCGUGCAAGGACUUCUGCAUGGACUCGGCGAGUCAGUAGGGUGACUCAGCAGGUCAACUAGGUUUUUCCCGACAUCUGGACACGCAUGAACUCGGCGAGUUGCAAGGAAACUCGACGAGUUAGUGGGGGAUUUCACGACUACUCGAGUUCUGGAAGGACUCGACGAGUCAGUGACUGUACUCGACGAGUCGGGUCAACAUGGACUGUUGGCCUUGACCGUUGACUUUGACUUUGACCAAGGGUUGACUAAUUGACUUUUGGGGCAUUCUGGGAAAAUGGAAAUUUAUGACUUCACUAACGUGUAUAGAUAAAUAUUACCUUUGGGAUGCUGCAUACACCAACACUCGCUGUGGCGGAGUUAGGAUCAAAGUAAAGGGGUAGCAUAGAUUUUUUUUAAGGUAGCCUAAUUUUCUUUUCCAGUGUAUCAUUGCAAAAUAAAUCGGAAUUUUCUAAAUAGACAUUGGGAUUAAUUAGUAAUGUUGAUUAUGAUAUGCAUAUCAACACGUAAUUAGCAUAUGAAACGAUAUAAGAGCAUCAAUACAAUCAUUUUUAUGAAGUUUUAGGUUAGGAUGUUUGAUUGUCUUCUAGUUAAUUCCAUCACUUAUGAUGGAUUGAUAUUAAUUUAAGCGUGUAAUCUAAGGGUGGGAUUGAACCCUAAUUUAUAAGAGGUUAAGAUUGAUAUCAACUCAUAGUUUGGGUAAGGUUAAGAAAACCUUAUCAUUGUUCAUUUAGAAAUUAGAGUCAACAACAACACUUGAAUUUCUAAGAGAGUUUCAUUGCCCUUUCCCACUGAAGUCAAAAAUUCAUAAUAUAACUUAAUAAUGCACUAAAUAGGUUAGUCCAUUUUAUAUAUAAACUCUAACAUUGAGUUCUACAUCUAAUCCUCUACAUCAUCAGUUAAUCCUCUGCAUCAUGAGUCUGAUUCAGUCAAUGAAAAAUAUGAAGCAAUUAUUCUAUGAAUUCUAAUGCAUUUAAAUUUCACUAUGAACUUAAUUAGUUCACAUCAAAAUUCAAAUUUUAGCACUUCAUCUUUGACAGUGAGUAUUGUGGAACGAACAAUAGAUAACUAAAACUACUCAUCUUAUCUAAAAUCAACUUUGCCCCCAAAUAAUCAGUCCAUAUUUAAUUAAUGUGCUUUCUUAUCAAUUUUUAGAUACAAAAAACACCAUGUCUGGGAAUAUCUAUAAUCGAUAGUAAGCAAGAGGGAGUAUCCACAAUCAACCAUCGAAACAACCAUUAACGUCACAAAAUACUAAAAUAACCUAUCAAAAAUCAAAUGAAGACAUGGCAUCAUCAAACACCUAACCUUUGAACCCUAAUGGAGCGGAAGACUCUGAUAAGGCACGACGACUUCUCUUCUGUCUCUUGUACCAAAUAACGAAAAAACCGAACACAAGCACAACCACACCGCCAAUGUCUAUUCUGAUUCCAAGUGCAAGCAAUGCAGUGUUACUACUAGAUCAAUUUUGAGGGGUACCCGGGAUACCCCAGGCUCCAAUGUGGAUCCACCCCUGAACACUCGUGGAUUUAUGACUUCUUACCGCAAUACGAGGUAUUGGUUAUCCGAUUAUCGACGAUGACGUGCAUUAACUAAAGAAGAGAAAUCCAAUCAUGCACAUGCGCAACUCAAAAAUGUUAUUGAACGCGCUACAGUGUUUUGAAGACGAGAUUCCCAAUCCUAAAGCAAAUGACUCAUUUUCCUUUUUCAGUGCAAAGAGACAUAGUCGUUGCUUAUUUUGCAGUCCACAAUAGGAAAUGCAAUAUUCUUGAUGAGUUAUUUAUGACGUUUACGGAGAACAAUGGUCACGCACAAGGGGGAGAGAAUGAUGGCCAAAACGUUCACGAUAUGGAAUGGGGUUCACAAGGCAACAGAUACAUAGAUAAUUUGGGUGACCAGAUUGCGAAUCAAUUGGGGUCAAAUUAAAUUUUUAGGAUUUUAGUAUGAUUUUGUGGAUUUAAAAAUAUUUAUGUUUGAUUUGGAUUUGUGUUUAAUUUUAAUUUAUGCUAAAUUUGGAUUUUAUAUGGUGUUUAUAUUUUUUUAUACUUAUUUAAGAAAUUGAUUAGAUUAUUUUAUAAACAAACACUUGAAUUCAAUAAAAAAUAAAACAAAAGGGUAAAAUAAUCAUUUUAUUAAUUCAACACAACAAUUCAGAAGUCCCUACCAAACAACAUGUUAAACAUUCGGCUCUUAAAAUUUUAGACCUCUUAAAAAUUCAGAUAUUAGAUCUUAAAAAUUCAGAUCCUACCAAACAGACCUUAAAGCCAACUAUGUUAUACGAAUGAAAAUGUUGGCCGAUUAAGAAUGACCAUGAGAGAGGCAAAUGGAAAUUGCGAAAUUAGGAUGGUACAAUGGACAUGCAGUGGAAUAUUGUAAGACAAGAUAUAAAACACACCAUUUUGAUUUUUGGUGAGAGUGACGUCAAUUACCGAAAAAUCAAGAGAAUAAAGAUAGUGAUGAUUUCGAUGUGUCAAAAGGAAGCAACCGAUGGUUAUGCUUAGGAGAAUGGAGACGGUUAGACUCCAUGGUGCGAGGAGGAGAGGAUAGCCUAUAUAAUACAUCCCUUUGCGCCAUUUAGUUUUGUUGUUGAAUCAAAACCCGCAAUUUCAAACCAAAAUCAAAGCAUAGUUAAGUAAGGUGUGCAAGUAUCAAAAGAGUUGCUUAUGAUUCACCAACCUUGACACUAGAUCGGUUAGAGUUUCGAACCCUUUACCAAAUCAGCAAUUCCGUCCUAUUACUUAUCAGAACAUAUAUAAAUAAGUAGACAAAUGAAAGCCCACAUGCACGUAACUGAUUGUCCUGUACAAUCUUUAAAUUAACUACAACAAAAAUAAAACACACAUUUAUUUUGAUGAACAAAUGAGGAAGAAAUCUAAAAGCUAUUUCUUGUAUCAAUUUGAUGAGGGUUAAAAUCGACAUUUUUCAGGAACAUGAAUGUGAGAAAAAGAAAUCAAGUUCAUAUUGGUUGGGCAUCUGUCUAGCUCCAUAUCAAGCACCAUUCAACCAUCGAAAACAUGGUGGUAGUAGAAAGAUUUGAACACAAGGACAUGCCAAUGGACCAACAAUCGUACCGGUUAUACCUCCUCUACCUUCAACAUAUGCAAUAAUGCAAGCAUGACUCAACCAUCAUGGUGGAGGUGGCAAAAAAAGAGAGUUAUGAUUGAUAGCUCCUGCCCUAAACAUGAGGGAAGUUAAUGUUAUAAUUUCUCAUUUGAUGAGUUUGGAAGCUUCAUAAAUGGUUGCUGUCUUCACUGCCACAUUUCCAUUUUCAUGUGUUUGGCUAGUACAUAAAUGCUCAAUUGGUCAGGAACACGUUAGAUUAUCAGGAUUCAGGACUCACAAAUUUCCUGCUUAUAUUGAUGUAUAGCAUUUUUUAUCUAUUAAGAUAAUCGCUGUACUUCUCACUUCAUAAGUACCAAGCACAACUUAACUUCUUUGGCUUACCUCUGAUCUCAUACCAUCUUUGAGCAUUCGCAUAUCAAGUGGUGGCCUUCAACUGAAUUUGAACCCUAAUAGAGAAAUAUGUAAAAUGUGAGAAGGCUAAUUGAAAUAGAAUGUUGUGAAAUUGAAAGUAAGCUUAAAGAUGCACAUAAGAAGUAUCUUACCUCUCCUUUUCUCAAUAAAGGAUAAGAUUCAUUAUUUUGCGAGAGUCCACUUACUACCUUUAGCUCGUGGGUCCAGUAGUAGCUAGUUUCAAAUGUAGUUUAGAGUCGAUUAUUUCAACACAUUUUGCGAUAGUUGGUUUUGAACCUGGAACAAAAGAAGAAAGCAAAUGAGAAGAUUCAUAGGUUGCCAUUUGAACUUCUUAAGAACUUAAGUGCUUCAGUUAUAGUGCAAUGAAUAAAAAUACUUUAGCAAACCACAAAAAAUGAGGAACUAAGGUGUACGUUGUAAAUGUAUAUGCAAUCUGACUGCAACCUUAAUUCAGUAAUGAGAAGAACUAGGUACAUCCCGAUGAGCCAAGGUGGACAUGCUCAGAAAUAAAUUAUUUUUUGUGAUAGGUCAAAUAAAAAUUAAACACUCUACAAGUAUCCUAGUCCAGUUUGAAGCCUGAAAAUCAAAAACUAAAUUUGAACCAGAUUAAUUCCAUAUCUAGUUUCUGGUUUUAGGUCAGUUAAAUGAAUCCAAUUCAUAUCAAUCAAAUCAAUAACUAUUUAUAGUUGGAAUUUCAUAGGACAAAGCACACAAUGAAAUUGGAACUUCAAUGCAGUCCCACUCACCUCCCAUUUGCAUCCAGAAUCAUGUGCAGCUAGCUACAAUCCACUUCAUCCUUACAUCACCGAACAGGUUUUUCUAUCUUGUUGAAACUCUUUUUCUUCUUCUGAAAAUUUGAAUGCUGGACUAAUACCGGUUUCAUAUAUUUUUUUUAUAGGUUCAAAUGUAUCGUUCACAUUUAUAAUAUAUACGUCCUCAAUCAUCCAUGUUCUGUGAAAAAUUUCCGCCGGUUGAACAUCCCCAAUAACGGUUACACUCCCUUCUUCUAAAUCAAAAAGAAUCGAUUGGAUACCCUGAAGUGCAGAUAACGCCUUCAGCACCAUCUCUCCUUGACUUCGACUGCCUGAUUUAAAUUCCAGCACAAUUUUCUGAAUUUUUCGCUAUAAUUACCAAAGAAAAAUAUAUAAGACCAGGUAAUAAUACUGAAAAAACGUAAAAAAAAAAAGGGAGGGCGGGAUGAUUAAAACGAAUUAUGAUUACAUGUUUAUGUUCUUUUGCGGAUUUGUAUGAAGGUGCAACGCCUGUUUCCCGCUCUUCCUUGAUUUUUUUUUCAGGUUCAACACUUAUGCUAUAUACGCCCUCAAUCUUGCUCACAUGUUGAAUAACAUCCAUGGAAUCAACAUCCCCGAUAACAGUUAGGUUUCCAUCUUCUAUAACGACAUCAAUCAACUGGAUACCCAACCCUGAUAACGCCUUCAUCACCUCCGCUCUUUUACUUGGACUGCCUGAUUUGAAUCCCAGCACAAUUUUCUGAAACAUACACGAUAAUUACCAAUAUAUAUAUAUAUAUAUAUAUAUANNNNNNNNNNNNNNNNNNNNNNNNNNNNNNNNNNNNNNNNNNNNNNNNNNNNNNNNNNNNNNNNNNNNNNNNNNNNNNNNNNNNNNNNNNNNNNNNNNNNNNNNNNNNNNNNNNNNNNCUAACUUUUUUAGGAUCAAUAGGAUCACUUUUUCAACCUUCAUUUUAGAACUUAUCUUAUAUCGACAAAAUAAAUAAAAAUAUGUAAAUUCAUCAUUUUUCAACCUCUUUCCAUAUUGAUAUUAGAAGAGAAAUAUAAUAAUAAAAAAAAUUUCUAUGAAAAAUGUGUACAAUAUGCACAUUUUUGUAAAAAAAAAUGCAUUUUUUUGAAUUUUUUUUUAAUGAUUCAACUUUUAUAUCAACAUCCUAGUCAAAUAAAUAUUUUUAGAAAAAAAAAAAACGUAUCUAGAAAAAGUUUAAAAAAUGUGCAUAUAUGCAAAAACUCAAAUGUGCAUGAUUUUUCAAACUUGGUUUUAGAGCUUAUCUUACAUCGAAAAAAAUAACUAAAAAUAUGUAAAUUCAUCAUUUAUUAACCUCUUUCCAUAAUAGUAUUCGGAAAUUGUUUUUUAUUUUACGUAAAAUGUGCACCAUAUCCACAUAUACAUAAAAUGAAAAUAUACAUAUAUGCACAUCUGCAUAUAUACACAUUAAUAUACAGAUGAAAAACAUCUUGAUAAGUUAGGACCCUGCUAUAAAAGGUGAAUUUUUGAAAAAAGAAAUGUUUUUCUACUUAUGUGCAUAAUUGCAUAUAGUGCACAUUUUACGUUAUAUGCAAAAGAAAAAAAAAAUCGAAUAUAACUAUGGGUAAAGGUUAAAAAAUGAUAAAUUUAUAUAUUUUUAGUUAUGUUUUUCGAUAGAAAUAAGCUCUAAAAAACGUUUUUCCAAAUAAUGUGCAUGUGAUGCAUAUGUUACACAUUUUUUUUUCGAAUACCAAUAUGGAAAGAGGUUGAAAAAUCAUGAAUUUAUAUAUUUUUAUUUAUUUCUUUCGAUAUAAGAUAAGCUAUAAAAUUAGGGUUGAAAAAGUGAUCUUAUNGAUGUAUAUAUAAGACCAUCAUAUUUUAUAAGACAUGGGACGCAAUCCUAGCCACUCAUUUUGGAGAUAAAAAAAAUUUAAAUGCAAAAUAAAUGAAAAUAUGAAAAAAAAUUAAAUAUUAUUUAUCAUUUAGAUUAUACAACAAAAUAAAAAAUAAAUACAUGAAAUAUUAUUUUUAUAUAUACAUGAAAUAUUGUAAUAAAAUAUUAGACUAUAGAUAUUCAAACAAUUCCAACAGUAUAUUGGAAUAUUCUAACAAUUAUAGUAGAAUAUUAGAAUAUUGUAACAUAUCUGAUAAUUCUAAUAGAAUAUUAGAAUAUUUUAACAUAAUUAACAAUUCUAGUAGAAUAUUAGAAUAUUGUAACAUAUCUAGGAAUUCUAUUUGAAUAUUUACAAUGUAAUUUUCUAUUAAAAUAUUUCACGUAGUUUUCAAAGACGGAUUACUUGAGAUUCUAAAAAAAUAGAGAUCUUAAGAUUCAACCUCAACCACAUAUUUCUCAUUUGCCGCUCUAACGCUCCAACGCAGCAAGCAUUGGGGUAUGUCUGAUCAUAAAUGAUUAUAUGGCGAAGAGAUAUAAUCAUAUAUGAUUAUACAUGUGUAUACAUAUAUGUCUGAUCAUAAAUGAUUAUACAUAUGUCUAAUCAUAAAUGAUUAUACAUAUGUCUGAAAGCAAUUAAUCAUAUAUGAUUAUGGUGGUUGGUGAGGGAGGAGGUGGUGGUGGUGGUAGAGGUAUCGUUGACGGAGGUGGCAAUAAUGUGGUCAGUUGGUGGCGGGGUGGUGGUGGUGGUGGUGAUGGCAGUGGUGGUUAUGGUGGUGGUGAAAGCGGUGGAGGUAAAAGGAACAGGCGGCGCGGCAUAAUCAUUUAUGAUUAUAAACUCUCUCGUUGUGCUGGUACGCCAGAGGGUUAGAGCAGCAAAUGAGAAAUACAUGCUGUAACUUUGGUCCAGCUUCUUUAGGAGUGUACAGGAAAUGUUUGCUUUCCUUCCUUUUACCUAAUAAGCUUAAUGUUGAAUUACCUUCAUCUGGCCACUAACUGAUUUCAGUUUGUCCCCAUGUAGGCUUGAAGUAGAGUACUCCUGAAUUUCAUCAGAAAGUUCUUCAGACAUGUUUUUCGUAAGGUGUAGCUGGUCAAUCUCAUUUGGUUCCUGAAUAAAUCACAAGAGGAAAAAUAGAUAACUUAUGUUCACAACAUGUGGUGUUGAGAACAAUCAAGUUAAGGGGAAAACAAGUUAUAAAGUAAAAGUUUGCUAAUAUUGUCAUUUUCUCUAAAAAAACAAAUGAAUCUGGCGUGCCAUGUAACAAAUGAAAAAAAAUAUAUUAAUCCAAUGCACCUUUCUUUUCAGAAGAUUUGUAGUUCAAGAGGAAAAUUAAUUGCAGAGUGAAAGUUGAUCGGUUUUUUAUGUGAACUUUACUGUAGAAAGAUAUUACUGAUUGCUUUGUUUUUCUGUCUGAUGUUGAUGUAUGAAAGUAUGAGUAUGUAAUUUUAGAACAUUAGCUCAUAAAAUUGAUGGACACUACAUGUUAAAGUCUAUGUAGAAAAGAGUAUAGUUAAAUUCAAUUACAUGUCCUCUGAAGACCAAAAGAAGUUUAAGACAUACGAAAGAUUCAAAGUGAAGUUCCAUGGUUUUUGGGCAAUCAUUUCAGAAUGAGAAUGAAAGAGUUGAAGCUUUUUUAUGUCGUGUCGAUGACUUGCGGAAAAAGUUCUAAUUAUAUGUGACGAAAUAUUUAAGCUCCUUACAUUUAUUUCAGAUAUCUCUUUCAUAUAUAUCGAUGCAUCUUCAGAGAUGUCCUCAGCCUGUUGGUCGUAGAUUUGUACGUUGAUGGAAGUGGGUUAAUAAUUUCCAAACACAAAAACGUUAAAACUCUUUUCUUUUAUCCACUAAAAGUAAUAUUCAUUUACCUUUCUUACUAUAGCUCCAAAUUUAGAUGUGGUGGUAGAUUGCAUGGACUCCCCAAGGAUGCUUGACGGAAACUCCAAAGUUUUAUCUAAAAAAGAUGAUUUUGACAUCUGUGGGAUCUUGUAAACUUCCUCCUAUUCAUGUUUUUCAAACACCAGAACCAAGAUUAGAUAAACGCAAUUAUUACACUAAUUAUAUCCAAAUUAGCAUUAAGUACCAAUAGUUUAAAUUAUAUUAUAACAGUGUGGUUGGUAUUUCCACGUAUGUGAAUUCCUGUAAUACUUGAAAAAAAAAGACAUUUCUAUCAAUUUUACAAGUGUCAUAUGAGUAGUAUGCAAUGGCAAUGGAUGAUUUGAGAAGCAUAACAGUUGUACGUUAUACAAAUGUUAUGGCAACUUCCCUUAGUUUGGAACAAUGUAGAGUAGUAAGAAUUGUUAUGAUAAAACUAAAUGACAGAGGUCCUUUUCAUCUUCAUGCAUGCAACUAGCUUAGUGGAGUUGUUGCUUUUGAUGCUUUGUUUAUUUUAGCCUCUUUCUUGUGUCUAGUGUUGUUGUUUUGUCUUUAGUAGAUAGUGGUAGACAUAGGUUAGUGGUCUACUUGUCUCUUUGUUUGUUCUUGUAAAGUCUGAUUUCUUUCCUUUCUUGUAAGCCUUGAUAAGGCCUCUUGUUCUUUGUUAUACAUUGUGAGAAUAUACAGCAGUUGUGUGUCAAUUCUAUACUCUCUCCAAAUACCUGUAUAGCAUCCUAGUUGUGUACUAGAAGUUGUUUGAUAUACAGGUUAACAGAUGCCUCACCCCAGUACUGUUCUAGGACUUGAGAUACGAUGAGCAAUGUAUGAACAAUGUCUAUGUUUGCGUUAACCUCGACCAUAUUGUUGUGAUUUGGCAGGACACGAUUAUUAAGGCUCGGUUCAUGUUCAUACAAGAAGGAGAGGAGCUAAGAAUCUUUGUAUUCCGUGGCAUUUUCAUCACAUACUAUUUUGAUGGAUUAGAAAAUUGAGUUUCAAGCAUGCAUAUGAAAGUGAUGGAAAGGUGAACCCAAGUAAAACAAGUGCAAUUAUCAACAAAGAUAGCAAAGUACCUAGCACCUCCAUAGUGGGAUGAGUUGCAGGUCCAAAAACCUAACUAAACUAAGUCAAAAGCUGCUAAAGGAGUGAAAUCAUUUGCAGUAGACAGAAAAUAAUGGUGUUUUCCAAGUAGACACAACAAAAAAGAAAUUGUUUUGGUGUUAAAGUAGUUUUAGGUCAAGACACAAAUAUAUGAUCUAGGUCAGCAUGCUACAUACAAAACGAAGAUAAACUCGAUAUAGAAGCUAUAUAAAUUGUGAAAAUGAACUUGGAAGACAAAGGUUGACCACUCCAAACAACCUUGCAAGUUGCAACUCUAUGACCUAUUCUAAGAGUCUCCUUGGUCUUUGGAUCCUACACAAGACAACUAGGAUUGGUGAAAAGAACAAUUAGACUAGAGUCACAUAAUUGGCAACUGAUACAACAAGAGAUAAGUUUGGAACAUGAACAAAAUUUGGUAAUGACAAGUGACAAGUGGAGACAUGUCCACCAGUUUGACUGCCAUCAACUAUGUAGACAGAGACGGAUUAUCGUGACUAUUUAGUUAUGAACAAGUCUCCAUGUGCUGUCAUAGGACAAAAAUUCACAAGUACUUAUAAAACCUCGCAUAAAUUUUUGGAUCGACUCUUGAUUUUAUUUUAUUUUAUUAAUUUUAUAGUAAUUCUCUGUAAAAUUCGAGGUGUUUUUUUGCAUUGAAGGAUAUGGGGGGUGUGUUUGGACUGUUGUGGUGCUCAUGAUGCAAAAUCACAAAGCAAUUUAUGGGAUGAGAAUAAGUUGAACGUAUUGAGUGUAGAGGUCUAACUGUAGGGCAGAGUGGGAAUGUUAAAUGACCAUAGGGAUCAGGUGCCAGAACCAUAGGGGGCGGGUGUCCUCUGCUGGUCCGAUGCAAAAAGACUACUGCAAAUCGAUGUGAAAGGAUUGAAGCUUCACCUAUGAUUUCUGAUGUAUUGUACACAUGGGUUGAGGCGAUAUUGUGAUUACUUGGACAAUGCUUUGAGAAAUUUAUUGAUUACGGUUGAUGAAAGCCAAAUCGAAAAAUUUUAAUUUGUUCCCAUUAUGAAAGAUUUGGAUUCGUAGGAUAAUCAAAUGGUGACACGAAUCCAAGAACAAUUCACAGCAUGAAACAUACGCUAGCAUUCAUGUAGCAACUUCAUGCCCGAAAAGAAAUAUCACAGAGAAAAUUUACCAGUUCAGGACCAUGGAUGAUGCAUCUAACAGUUUUCAACUCUGUAAAUGAUGGAUUCAUCUGCUUUGGUCGACCUGUCUUUCUCCAUCCUCGUACCUCUGUAACAAUGUGUGAUUAGAUGAAUUGUCUCUAUUUUCAGCAUAAAUCUAGCUACAAAUGCCCAUAAUUAGCUUCACAAGAGUGACAUACCUGUAGAGUCGAUGGUAUCACCAACUAAAAUGCUAAACCAAUGAGGAGUUAGCCUGCCAAUCUCCAUUAACUCAAAGAAAUCACGACGACAAAGAUAGUAUGCUCCUGUGCGUAGUUGAAAUCUAGACAAAUCUCCUCCAAGAACUUCUACCCAUCCCAUGUUAUUUUCCAAGGUUUCCUCAGCUACUUUCUCAUCAACAUAAACAAGGCUCACCCCACAUUCCUCUACCUCCAAUCCACUCAUCACAGAGAUAGAGACACUUACUUUAUCUCCAGUAUUCAAUGUGUUUCCAAUUGGCCAGUAGCUUAACCAUAUACCAACAUUGCCAGAUCCAGGUUUUCCAAAGACUUUUGGGUUGUACAUCAAAUCAACACCAUUGCUCGUACUGAUUUUAACGAACCAUGCCAAAUCAUCGUCACCUGAUAUUUUAUAUCUCAAAGUUACAUCAAGUCCUUUGAGCUUCCUAUUCCUUGGACACAAAGGCACAUCAAAGGACAAAGCCGAUGAUGCUGAUACAUACUCAGGCUUCAGGUUUGGAUUCUUUAUGUCUGGCAGAGAUGUGCUCAUUAUAUCGAAUUCAUACAACAUCUGUGCCAAAAACACUAGAAUUCAGUCACAUAUAGUCGGUUUUUAGGUGUCAUAUCAAUGUGAUUGUAUGUGCUUCUGCAUGUGUUUGAGAAUUGAGAGAGAAACAACGUACCUCAACACACGGAGUUCUGCCUUUGGUGAGCUCAUCAUCACCAACCAGGCACACCUCCUGAUUUUGAUAUUCUUUUAGCCACUUCAUGUGUCCCAGAUCAUUUUCUUCAAGUUUGGUUACAGGCACCAAUUUAAUAAAGCCUUCAAUUUCACACAAACUAAUGCAUCCUUCAUAGCCAAACUCUUGCAAUGUGAAUCGGUGUUCUUGGAAAGUUAUUUUCUCCAAUGACAAACAGUAGUAUACAUACAAUUCUGCAAGCGUACUUGGGAGACAUACUAGCCAUUUAAGUCUUGAGCAUAAGCUCAAGUCAAGGACCCGAAGAUAUUUAAGAUGAUCAUAACAGGGCAGACACUCAAAUAGACUAUUGCCUAAAUUCAAGUACUGCAAAGAUAGUUGAACAUUAAAACUCAGAGUGAAAGAAUCGGUACACUCGAGAUUGCAGUCCUUGAGGAAUAAUCGGUGUAAUGAAUGUGGGAGGGAGAACGUAUGCUGUUCAGUAACUCCUAAUAACAACUUUCUACACCCUGUCAUGUUUAGUAGUGCAAGACUCGUCAGGUUUCCAAUGGUUUCACAAACACGAACAAGAUUGUGACAGUUCCAAAGAAUCAAAGUCUCAAGAUGAGGAAUCAUUGACAUGUUGCGGAUUUCAAAUAGAUCAUACGAGUCCUUAAGAUUUAGAAUUUGCAGUGACUGAAGAACCUGUUGCAAAAGUGACAUGAUUUAUGUAUCGUUCAAUGUCAAUUUAAAGAUCAUUAACUAUUGAGAAUCUAUAUGGAAAAGCGACAUAAAUAGGAUACCGAAUUCCCUACCAUGGGCGGAUCAAGUACUUCCAAUUUGCUGUAGCUCAUAUCAAUAGCCACCAAGUUUCCCAUGAAUAAGUCAGGGGGUAUGGUUGUUAAAGGGAAUCCAAGCCAGCAGAGCCAUCGUAAAUCUUCUGAAAAAUUCUCGUAAGACCCGUUGAGAUACACAAAAUUCAAGUGGAGCAAUUUUAGUUUAUCCAUCUUCUUAAGUGCAUCUGUCUUGAGGUCUAGCGACUGGAAAGUUAGCAUAAAGAAGGAUGGUAAGAUGACAUCAUAUCCAUAAAUGAAUUUACCAAAGAUUCUCUAAGUAACAAGAUUCCAUGCCUUGAGUACCAAUUGACGAUUUCCAUGUCCUAGAUGGUUGUGUAGUGAUUGGGGUAUAACGAGGGGCGGAUAGGUAUUUUUCCAAGUGGGGCAAAAAUAUGUCUAGUAGUAGGGGACCCCAAUUUACCAAAAAAACCAUUCACAAAAUAUUUAUAUAUGUUACUUGAACUAUUUAUUUAUAUUGUUAUCGAUAAAUUCAUAUGUUUUUACUUUUUCUUCUUUUUUUGGGGAAAUUACAAAAUAUCUUAAAAAUCUUUUCUUUUCUUGGGGGUGGGGGAGCACACUUACCGCGGUGAGACCCGGUUAUUAUAAAAUUAUUGAACUUGAAUAUUGGAAGACAAAUACACUGUAACAACCCAAUUUUAGGGUGGAAAUAGACUUAUCAGGGUAAUUACCUUUUGUUUUGUUCACAUUUGCGUAAUUUCUUAUUUUUUGUACAUAUAUAAGUAACGAACUUUUUGGAAGUGUUCAUGUAUAACCAUUAUGACCGGCUGUAGCAAGUUACAUCCAGUCAUAAUGGUCAUAUGUGAACACUUCCAGUAAGUUCGUUAUAUAAAUGUAUACCAAAAAAAAGUUACCUAAAUGUGAACAAAACAAAAAUAUAAUAACCCUGAUAAGUAAAUUUCUCUUUUUUUUUUAUUAUUUUACCUUCUAAUUUUGAUUUGGUAUAAAAUUUGAACUAAAUGGUAAAUAUUUUUAAAACCAUACCAUUUUGGUAAUAUCUUUUUAAAAUACAUUACUUGGUUUAAAAUUUACUAUGUACACAUGUAAAAAUUGAGAACACAUGCUGACAUACCAACUCGACAAUAAAUAUUUUAUUUUAAAAUAAGAAAAUAAAGAUUUAGGGAUAAUUUUAUUUUAAAAUAAGAAAAUAAAUAGGUAAGAUAAAUAUAAAUUGAUAAAAAUAAUAAAUAAUGUUAUAUUAUUUGUUAAUAAUGACAAUUGAAGUAAUAAUAUUUGAUUAUUAGAGAAAUUGAGAAAAGUGGUUAAAUGUGUCUAACUUGAUGAAAGAUGAGUUUGACUAAUUGAGUUCACAUUAGAUGAUAAGAACUUAAAUGUCACAAAAUAUGAUGGAGAACGACUAUAAGUGAAACAUAUGUGAUUUCCGAGAUUUUUCUUAAUAUCUAAAACUCUAAAAAAAUUUGUGCCAAACACGCUCUUAAUGUGUUACGACAAGUCUGUCCUUUAGACCAAAAAGACAAAAAAUUACUUUCUUAACAUAAACAAAUUUCCUCAUCUUUUUCAUCUUCCUCUUUUACUUCUACUUUUAAAUAUAUACGUGAAACAAUAUAAAAUCUAAAAAGAUGAUUAAUUUUUAAAAAUAAUCAAACCUAAACCAAAAUUUAAAUCAAAUCCUAAAAGUCAAUUUUAGUUAGUCAAUAUUACCUUGAAUGCAACCUUAUCUUCCUUUAGUAAUUGCAUGUCAAGUGCUAAACCUUCCAUUGUUUCUGAACCCUAAAAGAAAAAGAAAAAAUAAAGAUAAAGAUAAACCAUAUAAUUCAAAUGAAAUAGAAUGGUGUGAAAGAAAAAGUAGGAUUACACAUACAUAUAAGAAGCUUCUUACCUCUCCCUUGCGCAAUAUCUUAUAAGAAUCACUACUAAGCCAAACUCUACUACGUCUUGCAGGGAAUUUUGAUGACUCUAGACGAACCAAAUUUUUUCCCAUCUCUUGAAUCAAUCGAUGCAUCAUCAGCUUAUUAUUUGGGGAAACAGAAAGAAGGCAUUUGUUGGAUAGGGUUUUGAUCCCAGAUAAUGCACAGUAAUCUGGCUCCAAUAUCUUUACCACAUAAUCCUUGUCUUUUCCAAUAAAGAAACAAGCAAUAUGCAAAAAUAAUUCUUUCUCUAAGAUAGAUGGUAAUGACUCAUAGCUCGUUAUUAGUACACUUUGGAUUCGAGAAUCAAAAUCUUUAUCCAAUACAUUCAAUCGACUUUUCCAGUAUAAAAUGGUAUUUUCAUUGGAUAGAGAAGAAGCCAACACUUCAACAGCGAGAGGAUUUCCUUCACAAUAUCGUAUUGCUUGCAUUGCAAGCUCUUCGAAACCUUCCAUGGGAGCUUUGGAACCAAAUGCAUGACGACUUAAAAGCUCUAACGAUUCAUCCUCAUUUAAUAAUUUUAUUUUAUACUCUUGACACCUAGAAUAUGUGGACUUGAACCAAUUAUCUGUAUUUUCCCUAAUUGUUGUGAUUAUAAUCUUGCUUUGUGCAUUGAUCGUUCCAGUUCCAAGUAAAGCGACUAACUGACUUUUUUCUGCAAUGUCAUCAAGAACAAUAAGCGUCCUUUUAGUUUGUAAGGCUUCCUCAAUCUUACAUGUACCCUGAGAAACACCAGGUAUUUUUCUCUUCUUUCCACCUAAAAUAUCAUUGAGAAGUUGUUCUUGUAGCUCAAGCAAAUCAUGGGAUUCUUUACAUCUGCGACCAAUGUUUUCAACAAAACUCGUGUUUUCAAAAUAUCUCCAAUUUGAAUCGUAAAUAUACUUGGCCAGAGUUGUCUUGCCACUUCCACCCAUGCCACAAAUUGCUAAAAAUUCGAUAUUUGAUUGAUUUAACCAGGAAUUGAUCUCCUCGUAUCGAGUGGCCAUCCCUGUUAGAUUGGGUGGAAGAUGAACUUCUUUGCGAUCCAGUUUGUUGUAAAUGGUGUCAACAAUUUCCUUCAAAAAAUUUGUUUCAGGCCUGGAACAACAAAAACAUGAACAAGUUCAUGAGAUGAAAUUUAGAAAUUCUUAUAUAAAAGUAUAAAACUGAAUGAUAAUAUUCAGUAAUUAAAUGUAAUGUACUAUUAGUAGAUAUUUAAAAUUAAUUUCCAUUAAAGUUUCCAAUUCCACGAAAUAUCAAAAUUCAAUCAAAACCUGAUCAAAGUAUUUAGAUUGGUAUAAUAGAAGAUUCUUCUAAUUUAAUUACAAAUGCAUUUGAAAUAGAAAAUCAAAUCAAAAUAAAACAUAUAUUGAUAGAUUAAACAGAUUUAUGUAAAUAAAAGCACUUAUAGUCAUGUCAUAAGGAUAAUUUAAGUGCAUAAAUUAGAAAUUAACAUAGAGAGAGAAUUAGGGGCAAGGUUAUCCAGAAAGAACAAAAAGAAACUCGCGUAGCUCUUGUCAAGAGUCAAACUUGUAUAUGAUAUAUCAAAAAGCAUACAGCUCAUACCGAUUUUUAUACUUUUUCCUAUAACUUAUUUGAAAUAAGAAUAGAAGAAAGUUAGCCAUCCCACAUUCAUUCUAUGGUAAUGAUCAUAUCGAUUCCAUCAUUUUCAUUCAUUUUUAAGGAAAUUACUUUUCACCUUUCCAAACUUCUCUAUCAAACAAAUAUCUCAUACCGAUUUAAAGGUUUAAUCUAUUGACCCAUACAUCAACAAAAACUUGACCGAAUCUUAACUUCAAAAGUGGAGAACCAAAUUUGGCUAGAAAUUAGCAAUAAUAAUCAUCAAAUUAUUGGAUCAAAUAGCAUCAAUUAAAUUUUAUUUCAAUAAUAAUUAUAUUACAAAAAAANAAAAAAAAAAAAAAAAAAAAAAAAAAAAAAAAAAAAGACAGUGAGGCAUACCCCGACAGAACCAUGCCCGCCAAAUUAGCAACCUCCUUAAGAGCUUUCUUCCACAUGUUCACGUUGUGAUCUGUCCACCUUGAAGAGCCUUUCACUUCAAUUGUGAAAGAUUUAUUUUGUUUCCUCACAUCAGAAGGAUCAACAUGAUAAAAAACAGGUAAAACGAAAUGAUUCACCUCCUUCCUUUGUUCAAGGAUCAGUACAAGCUCGUCAAGGCACCAGGUGGAAGUUGCAUAGUUUUCUGACAAUACGACAAUUGAAGCCUUAGAUUGUUUAAUUGCUGUCUCGAUCUCCGGCUUCACUUCUUCACCUCUCCUGAUUUCUUCGUUAUCCCUAAAAGUACCAAUUCCUGCUCCCAUUAAUGUUUUGUAAAGAUGAUCGGUAAAAGAAUGACGAGUAUCUUCGCCCCUAAAGCUUAGGAAAACGUCAUAGCUGCUAGCGUUAGCACUAGAAGAAGAACUGGAAGCCAUUGAAACUGGAUCGACAAGGAUGCAAGAUGAAGUCAACGGCAAAUUUUCAACUACCCAAAAUUAUACCCAAGCUUAUCUAAGGCAGGCCGAUUACGGCUUUUUAAAACCUAAUUGUCAAAUAAGACUAUUCCGAUUUUUGAAUUGUUUUUAGGAAAGCUCAAUUAUUACUUUGAAUAAUCCAAAAAUAUCAAAAAAAUAAUUUUGUAUUUAUGUAUGUGUUUUUAUUUUUAAUAUUUAUUUAUUUUAUUAUCAGAAUACUAGUUUAUAACAUAUGGUAAUUAUGGUUAUAUAAUUAAUUAAAUAUUUAUUAUAAAAAUUCAAAAUUACUAAUCAAAUAUUUUAAAUAAAUUACUAUUAAGUAAAAGAUAUUUUUAGUUAUAUAAAAUUGUAAUCGUUGAUUUAAAUAAAUCCAUGAACUUAUAAUCUAUGUUACUUUUAUUUUAAUUUUUAUUCUGAUGUUAAUAAAUUGUAUCUAAUAAGAGUUGAAAAUUUAAAAUUUGAAAUUCAAAAUGAAAAAUCAGUAGGUCGACAAGUGACAUGAUAUUAAUUAGGAGACCCAAUAGAUCACACAUGACAAAUAAUAAGAAUAAACCUAUUUUUAUUAGAAUUGCCGAGUCAACCUUGCGACUCGCCGAGUUGUUCAUCCAACUUGUCGGUUCCAGGCUCAUCUUCAUGUGACUCGCCGAGUCAACCUUGCGACUCGCCGAGUGCCUUCAGUCCUUAAGCCAUACAAACUCUUUUAAGCCAUGCAGUGGCUCUAAAUUACAGAUCUAAGCUUCUAAGGCAUAUUUUUCAUGUAAAGUUGCAAACUUUAAGUGCAUACAUAGCUAAAAAUGCUCUUAAUGACAAAUCCAAGCUCACAAUGGGGUUUCAUACUCGAAGAGGCUUCAUACAUGACCAAACUCAGAGAUUUAUGACUCUAGAACCCAAGAAGGGUCCAAAUCUGAAGUUACAACUUCAGAUCUAGCCUAUAUCCCACAUUAUCAUCUCAACCAACCCAUAAAAACCCUAAAUCUCAACCAAAAGUGGUCUAGAAGGAAAAUGAAGUAAAGGUGACGACUUGAUACCUCCAAAUGAUGCAGGCUGAGGUAGAUUUUUGAUUCCUAUGCCUUCCUUGCUACUAGUCUCUUGCCCUCCAAGCUCUUCCUUUCCAAGAGCCUCCUUUCUAAAGCUUAAUACACACAAGAAUGAAACACCACACGAAUUAGGGUUUUCUGAGCUCUCAAAGGACUGCAAAGAGGCCAAAGGGGGCUUAUGCUUCUUUAAAUAAGGUGCAGAACCCCGAAAUUUUAGGGUUUCAUCUGUCAGCCCCUACUCAUCGAGUUCCUUCAUGGUCUCGGUGAGUAGGCCACUAAACACGCGAUCCAUCUCGUUGCUACUCAACGAGUAGGGCAACCAACUCGUCGAGUAGGUCUUAAACCAAAUAAAUUUUCAUUUACAUCGAUACCUGAGAAUCGAGGCGUUACAUAUAUUCUCAAUGUCUUUAAAUUUAUGGGCAAUUACUAAUCUAGCCAAAUUAAGGAAGUCAUUAGCAAUUUAUAGCCAAAAAUUGGUAAAUGUCCAAAUACAGCCCACGAAACCGUAGGUUUCGAUAUUCGUCUACUGUUUCGCCAAAUCGUCUACUGUUUCGUGUUUUGUAUAAUUUUUUUUCAUUUUUAGGAUACAAACCCGUAGGUUUUUUAGAACCUACGGUUUCCUCUCGAAACAUACGGAUUUAGGUGAAAAAAUAUGGUUUUUUUUUUUUUUAAAUCUACUGUUUUUGGGGGGGUUUAACUACAAAAAAAGGGGAAACCAUAUGUUUUAAAAAGCCUACGGUUUUGUAUCCUAAAAAUGAAAAAAAAAUAUACAAAGCACGAAACAGUAGACGAUUUGGCGAAACAGUAGUCAACCUACAGUUGACUACUCUUUUGUGGGCUAUUUUUGGCUAAGUGGUUUUUUUGGCUAUUUUUUGAUAAAUAAUUAAGGAUUUUGACUAGAUUUGUAUUUUUCCCAAAAAUUUAGGAUUAAUGACUUAGGAGGGUAAUUAGGUUUCCAGUUUGUCCGUAUUAGGUCAUUAAGGUUUUUUUUUUUUUGUGCGUAUUAGACUAAUAUGGUUGUUAUUACCGUUUACAAAUAGUCAUUUUUACUGGUUAAAACUGGUAAAAGGACUAUUUCUAAACGUUAAUAACAACCAUAUUGGUCUAAUACACAUAAAAAAUAAAAAAAAUAAAAAAUAAAAAAAUAAAAAAAAACUUUAGCGACCUAAUACGGAUACGGACAAACUGAAAACCUAAUUACCCUCCUAAGUCAUUAUCCCGUUUGGGUUUCCAUCGGGUAUGAGUUUUUUUGUCAUCCCUACACUCAAUCUUAUUUCUCAUAUGUACAUUAUUUUAUAAACAUUGCAUAAAUGAAAUUAAAUAAGCUCAAAGUUUUGUACAUGACAUAAAAUCAUACCUUAUAAUAUAAUAGUUAGUUACACUCCUAGAAAAUAUUAUUUUCAUAAAUUAAUAAUUUUUCAAUUUAAUAAAAGAGUUAAUAAUAUUUAUUAGUUAAUAGUGUAAUUAUAAUAAAUACUCAGCAAAUGUCUACCUGAUAAAUGUUUGAUCAUAUAAAAUUAUAUAUUAUUAGCAAUAUCAUUUUAAAAUGAUGAUUGAGUAUAGAAAUCCAACAAGCCACAGUGUACUUAGUAGUUGCCUCACAUAUUUCAUAACUAACCCUUUUACAUCUAAUUCAUAAUGAUAAAAUCCUAACUAGUAAUAUGGGAUAAAGCUUAAGUUUCAUAAAUUGACAAGUAUGGUCCUUGUAACAAAAUUUCUAAUUUUUUAUCCCAAUAAAUAUCCAGUUAUUCAUUAUAAAAAAUUUCUAUUAAUUUAUUUAACUAACUAUUUUUUUUUUAUUUUUAUAUUCUAAUUGUUUUAUUUUUACAAAAAUAACCCAAAACUAUUAGACCCAAAAUGCAAAAGUUAUAAAAUUUUGGUGAAUGCAAGAAGUAAUUAGGUUCCCCUCGAGGAACUUAUGCCACAAGAUGAUUAAUAUGCUUUAGGUUGUAUAGUUGACAUAUAUUUAGGUUUUAUAUCAAAUAAUGCUUCUCUAUGAUACCCUACGCUUGGAGUAAUGUAACAUCCCUAGUUUGGGUUUGGAAUUUUUUUCUAUUUUUAGUAAAAAGAAUGGAAAAACUUAAAUAGUAAUUAAAUAACUAAUUGAUAAGACUUUAAAGUAGUAAAUUAAAGCAUCAUAAUAGCAUUUAUUAAAAAUUAUGGACUAAAUAAGUUAUUUAUGUGCACUCAAAUGAAAGGAUAAACGUAAAAUGUGCAAAUGAAAGGAUUUCAUAAAAAUCUCAUGGAAUUGAGAAUGAAGUUUUCACUAUAUACAUUCCAUAUGAUGAAGUAGUAAUUACAUCUAAUUUAUAAAAAAUAUAUAGUUGUUCCCAUUUUUAGAAUGAAAUACUUAUGGAAUCUCCACUAAUAUUAUCAAACCUUAUUUCAUGGUAUUUACAUGAGUUUCUUCUUUCUUAUUCUUAUGAAAGUCCCCGAGAAGGCUUAGUUCGUUUGUUUCGAAAAAUAUAUCAAUCAAUUCUGAUUUUUUUUUCUUUUUCUCUUGAUGAUGUUUUGAUCGAGAAGUAUAGAUCUUGUUAUUGGAUUAACGAAAAUGCGCAAAAGGUCUAUUUGCCUCAAACGAUUUAUGAGCCUCUUCCUUUUUUCUUAUGAUGUUUCCGUUCCUUUAAUUUAGCAGCAUCUACUAAUUUGGGACAUAAUUUGAAAGCAAUAUUUCGACCUCGAUGUUUUUGGGAUGCCGCUGAUUGUAUGUUUGCAUAUUUCCUAAUGAUUGAAAUGCAUUACAACGUAUAACAUAUAUAGAGAGAAGUGCAAUGAUGGGCUUGGCCCUAUAAGACUAUACAUAUAUGAUAUAUGGUGGUUGGAUGUAGGAAUUAAUUGUUCCUUAUUUUGAUUUAAAGAGGAUUUAUCUUGAUUUUCUAGGUUUCAAAUUUACAAAGGGAAAAAAUGGGUGACAAUGAACACAAUGGUGGUAGCUGGAGGUGGCUGUCAAGCCUGUUUUGUUUCUAACGAGAUUUUUUGUGGUUCUCUGUGGGUGUUUUACGUAGGUGAUGGAGGUGAGUCUACCAUUGGGGAUCUCGUCUGCAAUGGUCACCAAAAAUGAACUUUGGCGAGGCGGCACCCAAAGGCAUAGUACGGUGAUAGUGGCCGAUUAAGGAAUCGACCAAGCGGGAUUCGAUCAGACCUCAUGGUGGUUCGAUCGCUGGUGAUGGUGUCGAGUUUUGUUAAAUAUUGUGAGUAUUGCAAACUUGUCAUUUCAUGAAUGUGCAGGAUGUUUUGUGUAAAAUAUCUGGAUUGAUUUAGUUGUGCAUUUUUUACUUUGGGACAAUUAUGUCAUUUGGAUAAAAGUGGUGCGUCAAGGUGUGAGUUUGUAACGAGUUGACAUGCGGGUUAUAUGAUCUGUUUACCCAAAGUAUCUAGUUGAAGCUGCAGUGGUCGAUGGUCAUAAUUCACAAGAUAUUUUUACAAUUCAUCUUCUUAUUCUCUCUCGUUGUAAAAAGGGUUUUUAGGGUUUGUUCAACUUUAUCAGUUCUUUGUUCUUUUGUAAGUUCUUGAUCGUUGUAGAUUAGGAUGAGUGUUCAUCAAGAGAAUAGAUUAGGAAUUGUGUAGUGAGGUUUCUUUGUAAGUAAUUGAAAACCAUCUGUCUAUUUGUCCUCAAAUGGUAUAAUAGAUGAUGAUGUUGGGAAAUUGUGUUUCUAUAUUUUUUCACUUUGUAUCAAAGCUAUAGGGCUUCGAUUUGUCAUUGAAGAUCGUUUCAUAAAGGUACAUCUGUUUACCUUUAUUUUUCGGCUGAGAUCCUUGUAGAUCUUCAUAGUUGAGUUCAUACUGGGGUUUCUGUUGGAAUCUCAGUUCAUCUUACUCAUCUGUGAACAUCUAGGCUUCUUUUAUUUGAUCUGAUUCCUUCUUGUUAUUGUUUUCUGUUAAGAUAUUGGUACUGCAAGUUUUUUUCUUAUGAUUGUGCAAGUUUGACUUCAAGUGGAGAUCCUUGAGAGACAUUCAUCGUCAUCAAGUGGAAAUCCUUGAUUGACGAAUUAAAUAUUUGCUGGUUCUUUGAUCGAUUAAUCUUGUUCUCCAAAAUAACUCUUGUUAAUGGAUUUCAUCACCAUUAACUUUUCCAAAAGAGAACGGAGUAACGGGAGUCGAUCUGUUUCGGCCUGUUCAGCUUAUAGCUCUGUAAGCGUUUCUUGAUCCCUUCUAUCUAUGUUCUAGCUAUAGAUGUGGAAGAUUCUGGUUGUCUUGAGUACACAAGUUGUUGUGUUUUUAGUUCUUUAAUAUCUGUGAUUGUUUUGACUCCGAUGUUCCUGUCUUGGGCCCCAACAUACUGUGGUGACCAUCUGGACGCAAAGGAACAUAGUGGUCUGUUACCUUCUUGAUUGUUGUGUGUUUUUAUUGGUUGUCUUUUGUGUGAACACUAUGUCUGAUACUCCGCUUGAGAGUAGUGGUUCUAAGGUUGAUCCUGUAAACUACGUGACCCUCUUUAUAUACAUCCAUCUGAUAAUACUGUAACUAUAAUUGUAAGUUUUAAACUAAUUGGGACCGAAAAUAUUCGUGUUUGGCGUAGCUCUAUGAUAAGAAGUCUUAAGGCUAGAAAUAAGUUAGGGUUUGUAGAAGGGACUGUAAAAAAGGACUCUACUAAUAAACUUACAUCUUUAAAAUGGGAUCGUGCUAAUGAUGUAGUGUGUUCUUGGAUUCAUGGGUCUUUGUGUGAGUCAAUUUAUUCUGGACACGCAUACUCAGAGUUUGCUGUAGAUAUAUGGAAUGAACUUUUUGAAACCUAUAACAAGGCUGAUGGGUCUGUUAUUUUUAAUAUACAUCAACGAAUUAAUUCACUCAAACAAGAUGGUUCUUCCUUAUAUGAGUAUUUUAAUAAACUCGACACUCUUUGGAAAGAAUUUGAUGGUCUUACAAAUGUUGCUGAAUGUACUUGUGAAGCUGCUACUAAGUAUAAUGAUCAUUCAAAACUCAUGAAGUUAAUGCAGUUUUUAAAUGGUCUUGGUGAAUCUUUUAAUCAAGUAAAGAGUCAUAUUCUUCUGACGGAUCCUCUUCCUAAUGUUAAAACUGCAUCUUCACUUGUCUUUAAAGAGGAAUCUCAUCAGAAGAAUGAGACAUCAACUUUUGUUUCUAGCGUGUCUAAAACUCAAUCAUCUGCAUUUAACAGUAGAUUUAAUGAAAAAAGGGUCAAGGUUCUAAUUCUAUAGAAGAAGAAAUCAAAAUUUACAGUGUAAGAAUUGUGGUCUUAAGGGACAUCUCAUUGAUAGGUGUUAUAAAUUGAUUGGUUAUCCAAAAGAUUUUAAACCUAGGAAUGAGUUUAACAAUGAAAAUCAAAGAAAUCUGAAUAAAACUUUUUCUGUUAAUUCUUCUUCUGUUCCAUCUAGAAGUUCCUUUUCUUCUAGUAUCUCUGGGAAUGGUGGAGCUUAUUCUUUUAAGAGUGAUCAGUAUAAUAAACUUUUAAGUCUCAUCAAUGAAAGGUCCUCUGCAUCUGAGGAUACUCCUGUCAGUGCUAAUAUGGCAGAUAUUUUUUUUAAGUCAUGUAAUUCUACUAUUAGUCAUCAAAAGUGGGUUGUUGACUCAGGUGCUAAUCAACAUAUGACUUUAUAUGAGUCUCUUUUACAAGACACUGUUGAUUUUUCUAAACUAAACCUUCUUGUUAAUCAUCCAAAUGGCUCUUCUGCUAAGAUUGAAAAAAUUGGGAACUUGCAGUUUUCUGAAAACUUAACAUUGUUUGAUGUCUUUGCCGAUCCUGAUUUUGACGUAAAUCUUCUUUUUGUUCACAAAUUGUGUAAAGAUACAAAUUGUGAAGUUGUUUUUAAUGAAAAUUGUUUCAAAGUUCAGGAUUUACAAUCAAAGAAGGUUGUGGAGAAUGGUAGAGAGUCUGGGGGAUUGUAUUAUCUUGAUGCUUUUCCCUCAGGUAUUAGCUCUUAUAGUUUCAUUAAGUGUUGUGUCUCUAAACUUGCAUGGCAUAGUAGAUUAGGUCAUCCUUCUGAACAAUAUUUAAAUUCUUUAAAAGAUACACUUAAUCUUGAUAGUUCUUCUCAUCCUCCUUGUGAUGUUUGUCACAAGGCUAAUCAAACUCAUGAAUCUUUUCCUCUUAGUGUUCAUAGUUCAACCAAACUUCGAGAAUUGAUUCAUUUAGAUGUAUGGGGUCCUUAUAGAGUGUUUACUACAGAAGGCUUUAGGUUUUUCUUGACUAUUGUGGAUGAUUUCACAAGGGCUACUUGGGUUUAUCUGUUAAAAAGUAAGGAUGAAGUUUAUGGCUGCUUUACUUUAUUUUUUAAUAUUUUGCUAACUCAGUUUGAUUCUAAAAUCAAAAUAGUCUGUUCAGAUAAUGGAACUGAGUUUUUAAAUCAUAUGAUGGAAUCGUUUUUGAACUUAAUGGUGUUCUUCGUCAAACUUCUUGUGUUUAUACACCCCAGCAAAAUGGGGUUGUUGAAAGAAAACAUAGACAUAUUCUUAAUGUUGCCAGAUCUUUACUUUUCCAGUCUGGUCUUCCUAUAAAGUAUUGGGGAGAAGAAAUUCUAACUUUAGUUUUUUUGAUUAAUAGAAUGCCAACUUCUGUUUUGAAAUGACAUUCACCUUAUGAACUUGUGUUUAAGAAAUUACCUGUGUUUGAUCACUUAAGAGUUUCUGGUAGUCUGUGCUUUGCCACUAAACUUAAUAAUCAUGAUAAGCUUUCUGAACCUGCUGAAAAAUGUGUUUUAUUAGGUUAUUCUUCUAAGAAAAAGGGUUAUAAGUUGUUAAGUCUUGAUACAAAUUUUGUUUUUGUUUCUAGGGAUGUGAAGUUUUAUGAGUCAGUUUUUCCAUUUAAACUGAGAUCAACAACUAUUGAUAAUCAAUUUGAUUUUCAUAAUUCAGUAGACCCUUUUUCCUAAAAUGAUCAACAUAAUUCUGAAUAUGUGAAUGAUUUGAUUGAUCUAAAUAACUUGAGUGUUAACCAUCAGAUGGAUGAUUCUAGUGCAGCUCAGAAUCUGGAUGAAACUUUUUUUGAUACUACAUUUGACAGUGAUGACCAGACUAGCGAGGUACCUGAAUCUUCAUCUGAUAGGAGUAUGCCAAGUCAUUCAGAUUCAACUGAGGAAAGUAGUCAUUUAGACUCAUUGCCUUCUCUAGGACAGUCAAUAGGGGUUUCUAGGUCUAGAAGAGAGUCUCGAAUACCUAUGAAGUUAAAUGAUUAUAUUGUUGAAGGGACGCAUAGAUAUAGAAUUGAACAUACAUUAAAUUACUCUGUUCUUAGUACAGAAAAUAAAUGUUUUUGUUCUAAUCUAAAUAAAACAAUUGAGACAAAAACCUCUGAAGAUGCCUCUAUAGACCCAAAUUGGGUUGAGGCAAUGAAUAAUGAAAUGGAAGCUUUAUAUCGAAAUCAUACUUGGGAUAUUGUAGAUCUUCUUAAAAAAACCAAUAGGAUGUAAAUAGGUUUAUAGAAUUAAGUAUAAACCCAAUGGAGAAGUAGAAAGAUAUAAGGCUUGUCUUGUAGCCAAAGGUUAUCAUCAAAGAGAAGGGGUUGAUUAUCAGGAAACAUUUUCUCUUAUGGAAAAAAUAGUUAUUGUUUGUAUAGUUAUUUCACUAUCUGUAAAUAAUAGGGAUGAGCAUAUGGACCGGGGAACCGGCCGGAACCGGUACUGGAACCCGAACCGGCACCGGAACCGGAACCCGAUGGAACCGUUCGGGCCGGGACCGGGACGUUAUUUUUGUAGAUUUUUGGAACCGGGAACCGGUAGGAACCGGAACCGAUAUAACCGGCAAAAACUGGAACUGUAUGAUGCUAUUUUUCGAAGACCGGUUCCAACAUUUGAAGACACGACAAGAACCGGUAGGAGCCACGAACCAGAAGAACCGUCGGGCCGGUUUGGUUCUUGAUUUUGGCCGAAGCUGGUUCCCGGUUCCGGCCGGUUCGGUCCUUUUGCUCAUCCCUAGUAAAUAAGUCUUGACCUUUGUAUCAGUUAGAUAUUAAUAAUGCUUUUCUUUAUGGAGACUUAACUGAGGAUGUGUAUAUGACUUUACCUCAAGGGUAUCAUACUAAAUGUGAUACUAGAGUAUGUAAAUUAGUUAAAUCAUUAUAUGGGUUAAAGCAAGCUCCUAGAAAAUGGAAUGAGAAGUUAUGUUCUGAAUUGUUUAGCUAUGGUUUUACUCAAAGCAUAAAUGAUUACUCUUUGUUAGUUAAAAAGGAUAAUAAUUUAAUUAUUGUUUUGUUAGUGUAUGUAGAUGAUAUUAUUUUAACAAGUAGUAAUGAGGCUGAAAUUCAGAAUGUGAAAUCUUUUUUGAAUUCAAGAAUUUUAAUAAAAAAUAAGGAAAAUUAAGCUAUUUUCUUGGAAUUGAAGUUUUAAGUAUAAAUAAAGGUGUGUGUUUAAAUCAAAUGAAAUAUUGCCUUGAACUUUUACAUGAGUUUGGAAUGUUAAGUUGUAAAACUGUUUCAACUCCUUUAGAGGCAAAUUUUGUCCCUAAAAGAAGUUGUAUUGGUGAUGCUCCUUUACUUGAAAAUGUUAGUGGAUUUCAGAAACUAAUUGGAAAGCUUAUAAAUCUAACUAUUACAAGACCUGAUAUAUCUUAUUGUGUUCAGAUACUCAGUCAGUUUAUGCAUAAACCACAUAAGUUACAUUUAAAAAUAGCAUUCAGACUAUUUAGAAAGGUAGUCCUGGGAAAGGUAUUUCAAUUAUAAAGGCAGAAAAUUUUGACUUAAUGGGUUAUGUAGAUACUGAUUGGGCAAAAUGCCUCAGUUCAAGGAAGUUAGUUACUAGGUAUUUAGUUUAUUUUGGAAAUUCAUUUGUAUCCUGGAAAAGUAAAAAACAAGCUACUGUAUCCAGGUCCUCAACAGAAUCUAAAUACAGAGCUUUAGGAUCUGUUACUUGUGAAAUUAUUUGGAUUUUAAAAUUGUUAUUUGAUUUGGGAAUAAAAAGUUUAAUACCUAUUAUAGUUUUUUUGUGAUAACGGGUUUGCUAUUAAACUAGCAUUAAAUCCUGUGUUUCAUGAAAAAACAAAGCAUUUUGAAAUUGAUUUACAUUUUGUUAGAGAAAAGAUUGCAAAUGGUGUUUUAAAAGUAGGAAAAAUUAGUUCUUCUAAAUAGAGAGAUGAUAUUUUGACAAAGUUUUUAAGUGUUUCACAACAUAAUUUUUUGUUAAAUGAAAUUGGUUUAAUUAAUCAUUUUAAUAAAAAUUAAUAUUCUUCCUUAAAUGUCAAGUUUGAGGAGGGGGUGUUAAAUAUUGUGAGUAUUGCAAAGUAUUGCAAACUUGUCAUUUCAGGAAUGUGCAAGAUGUUUUGUGUAAAAAUAUUUGGAUUGAUUUAGUUGUGCAUUUGUGACUUUUGGACAAUUAUGUCAUUUGGAUAAAAGUUGUGGAUCAAGGUGUGAGUUUUUAACGGGUUGACACGUGGGUUAUAUGAUCCGUUUACCCAAAGUAUUUAGUUGAAGCUACAGUGGUCAAUGGUCAUAAUUGACAAGAUAUUUUUACAGUUCAUCUUCUUAUGCUCUCUCAUUGUAAAACGGUUUUUAAGUUUUGUACAACUUUAUCAGUUCUUUGUUCUUUUGUAAGUUAUUGAUCGUUAUAGAUUAGGAUGAGUGUUCAUCAAGAGAAUAGAUUAGGAAUUGUGUAGUGAGGUUUAUUUGUAUGUAUCUGAAAACCAUCUGUCUAUUUGUCCUCAAAUGAUAUAAAUGAUAUAAUAGAUAAUGAUAUUGGGAAAUUGUGUUUCUAUAUUUUUUCACAAUUUGGUUGGCCGGGUGGUCCAUCAUUUGUUUCUUGUUUUCCGGGGAGAGAGAGAGAGAGAGAGAGAGAGAGAGAGAGAGAGAGAGAGAGAGAAAUUUUAUUUUAUCUUUUUUUAAUUGUUCAAUAAAAAGAAGAAAAAAAAUUGCAUCAUUCAUAAAGUUUUGGGAGGGACAAAAACCACAACCAACUCAAAAUGACCAUUUUUUGUCAAGUUUGGGCCAAAACCGGGAGAAAAUACAAAAAACAGGGACCAGUUUUGCUGUUUUGUCUUUGUUCCAAUAAUAAGCAAAGCUCGUGUUCAUUUACAUAGGUUAGCAAGCUGAUUAAAAGUAUAUAGUUGGAUCCUUCUCGGAAAAAGCGUCACCUCUCCAAGCUCUACGCGCCAUAUAUGAUGCCCCGUAGUCUGUUUGAUAAGAUUUUCUCCAUCCACGUAAGUCUAUGAAAGUGUUAUAUAAGGAUCUAUAAUUACGAGGAAUGGUAUCACCAAGUAAUAUAUUUAACCAAUCAUGGGUGGUUGACUCGAAGUAAUCGCGACGACAAAGAUAGUAGGCUCCUGUAGUGAGCUCAAAUUCAGAUAGAUCUCCUCCAAUAACUUCUUUCUCUUUCUUGUAAUUUUUGUAGUAUUCUAACUCUUCUUCACCAUCAUCUAUGAAAGCAAGGCUGGCACCACACCUGUUUACCAUCCAUCCAUCCCCCACAAUGAUGGACACAUUGAUUUCAUCUCCAGCAUCUAAAACGUUCCCAAUGGGCCAAUAGCUUAACCACACAACAUCUUUUACUCCCGGUUUGCAAUAGAUCGCAGGGUUAUACAUCCAAGUAAGGCCCUUGGUUAUAUUGCUAACUUUGGUGAAUAAAGCCCAUGUAUCUUUAUCCUUGUGUGAUGUGCCUGUUAUUCUGUAUGACACGGUUACAUUUAACCCUUGGAUCCUGAAUUUCUCAGGACAAGAAGGCACACGAAAGGAUAAGAACGAGGAUGAUGACUUAUACUUGGACAUUGGCAUGCUUUGACCCUUUAUGCCUGCCAGAUAUGUGCUCAUUAUACUGUAUUCAUACAGCACCUGGCCAAAUACAUUGCAGAAUUAUCAAAUUACUCAUAUAUUAAACAAUUUUCCGAUGGAAAGAUGUAUUUUUUGAUUGCUUAUUCAUGCAUGAGAGAGAGAGAGAGAGAGAGAGAGAGAGAGAGAGAGAGAGAGAGAGAGAAAUGUACCAUUAUAUGACAAUCGUAUCUAAUGACAUCAUCACCUGCAAGGUCAACCCUAGUAUGUUGAUAUGCUUUAAUCCAUUUCAUAUGUCCCAAAUCUGCUUCAUCAAGCUUUGCUAAUGGCACCAAUUUGAAAAAGCCUUGAAUUUCAAACAAGUUUUCACAACCUAGAUAUUCAAAUUUCCGCAAUCUGAACCUAGCAGAUUCGAAUGUUAUUUUCUCCAAUGAAGAACACCAAGAAGUAUACAACUCUUCUAGCGUACUUGGGAGACAUAGGAGGGACUCUAUAUUUGGACAACCACUCACAUCGAGCACCCGAAGCAUUUUAUGAUUAGUGUAAUUGGUCAGAAGCGUUAACGGAUUACUGCCAAAAUUCAUGUGUUUGUAAAACGAUGAUGACUGUUUACUUAAAAAUGAUGGAUCAUCAUGGCUUAUAUCAAGGUUGCUAUCAUUGAGAAACAGAAACUCUAAUGAGUCUGGCAAGGGAACCAACAACGGUUGUGGCAUUCCUCCACCAGUACAUAGAGCUUUUAGCCUUUGCAAUUGCUUCGAUGCAACCUUUCCAGGUUGAUUACACCCUCCGAAGUCCAGUAGAGAAAGCUUCUUAAGACCUCUAAUGGUUUCACAAACAUGAGUCACACUGAGACUGAAACAGUACGAGAGAAUCAAAGUCUCGAGAUUAGGAAGUCGGGAAAGAUGGCGGACACUGACAAGAUUGAGCGACCAUUUAAGAUUGAGGAUCUUCAGUGAAUUAAGAACCUAUUUAAAGAAUACCAAGAUUCAUUCAUGGUAUGUUAACACAUCAACUGUCAGAAAGUUGGGAAGCUAAAAGGUUAAGUGAAAAACAGGACAUCAAAUUCCUACCAUGGGAGGUUCAAACUUCUUCAACCAUCCAUUGCUCAUAUCUACAGCCACCAAGCUGCUCCCCAAUAAGCUUGAGGGUAUUUUUUUCAAUUGACAAUUAGUCCAGUGUAACCAUCUUAAUUCUGGAAAAUUUUUGUAGGACCCAGUGAGUCUCACAUAUCGGAGCUUGAGCAAUUUCAGUUUGUCCAUUUUUACAAGUGAAGUUGUUUUAAGGGUUGGUGGCUGCAAAUUUAGCAUUAAGUUAAUUAAUUAGGUACAUAUCUCAUGUAUAACAUAAAAUGCAGGUAAAAUUAAAGGUAAAUGCAGCAAAAAUAUCAAGAGUACCACACUCAUUCACAACUUUGUCUUACAUUUGAUGUCAUCCCUUCCUCUAGCUUUCGCAUGUCAAGUGCUAGACCUUCAAUUGUUUUCGAACCCUAAUGGGGAAAGACAGGAAAUGAGACAAGGAAAGUUAACAUAGGAGGUUGUUGAAGGGAAAAAAAGGAUUAAAGAUACACAUAAGAAGCAUCAUACCUCUCCUUUUCUCAACAAACGAUAAGAUUCAUCAUUUUGCGAGAUUCUACUACGUGCUGCAGGAUCUCUGGACUCCUGAAGAACUAUGUUUCUUGCCAUCUCUUGAAGCAAUUGAUGCAUCAUCAGUUUUUUACUUGGUGAGAUGGUAAGAAGGCAUUUGUUAGUGAGGGUCACGAUCCCAGCCUUUGCAUGCCAGUCAUGCUCCAAUAUCUUUACCACAUAACCCUCAUAUUCACCAACAAAGAAAAAAGCAAUAUGAAGAAACAACUCUUUGUUACUGGCAUGUGGCAAUGAGUCAAAGCUCUUUUGUAGUAUACCUUGGAUUUU
rnacentral:lncRNA from 1 species